ACGGGGAUCUGCAUGAGUUUUUGUGAAGAAAAUGGGUGUGUUUUAACCUCCGGAAUGAACUCUGGUUGAAGCUCUUAGGAUUGAGCAAUAAUGAAUGCCGCGCAUGUUUUAUGUGAACGGAACGGAUAUGUACCCUCAAACUUGCUCCAAUUUUGGUCCUUGUGGAUAUGUACCUGAUUCGGCCUGAACCUUUUGGAAGUGUAAUACUAGUUUUUGGCGCAUCAUCUUCGCCUUUCUUGCGUUAGUUUACUCUCUUUGUUUCAGAAUGCAUGCUUCUGAGAAGUGUUGACCUGUUUUCAUCUUUGCUUGGUAUUCUCAAAAUCUCUUUUACUCUUAAAGAAACCCGCUUCUGUUGUCACUGAUGGGGCGUCCCUAGGGGGCUGAAUCCACUGUUUUGACCAUUUUUCUAAACUUAGCAUGAUAAGCAUGAUGUUUUGUAAAAUUUUCAUGAUCCGACCCUUUUCCUACCGCCCUUGGUUAAUGGUGGUAGGAUAUAACUGCCUACCGCGGAACCGCCCUUGGUUAAUGGUGGUAGGAUAUAACUGCCUACUGCGGAACCGCCCUUGGUUAAUGUUUAAGUGGAAGAGCGCAUUCUUCUGGGUUGGGCUGCCGCCACCCUUCAUCAACCUCACCGGCAGCAGAAACGACGGGAAGGGGAAGGGCAACGUGCAGGAGUGUGUUCUUUUUUAUGUUUUAUUAAUGUUUAAGUGGAUUUUGGCUCGCGGUUGACCAGUUAUUAAUGUUUAAUUAUGUUUAGUUUGGCCGCAAUGUUUUGAAAUGAUUUUUUUGUGGACCCGGGAAAAUAGAUCCGCCACUUGCUGGGUGCACUGGCCAAUAUAAACCAAAAGGCAGACACACCCAUCCACUCGGCUGACUCAAACGGGCAAAAUACGAGCCUCUCUGGAUUGUCGCGUUACCACUGUAUUCUGAUUCUUAUCUCUUAUGACUCUUCAAGAACUACACCCCUUCAAAGUUACCACUGUAUUUUGUACAUAAGUUAUAAGGUUUUCGAUGUGUAAAAUACCGCGGUACUUACACAUAAGUUAGCAGGGUAUAUGUACAUUAACCUCCCCCGGUCAAAGUUACCAUGGGGGGUUGUUCAUGAGUUACCGGGUCUACAGUUCAUAUAUUAUCAUGGUACUUGCACCUAAAAACUGGGUGUGUUUCGGUAGCUUUUCCCAUAGGUCAAAAAUUAUCACGAUGUUUUUGCGUAACUUAUCACGCCUAUAGCACGUGUGCCCCUCAUGAGACUAAACAUUAUGUGACUUCCUCGUGGCACGCCAUGUGUUGCAUUCAUCCAAGAGGCUCACGCGCGAGGCGAGUGUAUGUUUUUAACAACUUUUUUUCCUUUGGUAAAAAAGUUACCAUCAUGUUUAUAUUGCAAGUUAUCGGUUAUGCGAUGCUUAUAUUAUCAUGUUAUUUACACNNNNNNNNNNNNNNNNNNNNNNNNNNNNNNNNNNNNNNNNNNNNNNNNNNNNNNNNNNNNNNNNNNNNNNNNNNNNNNNNNNNNNNNNNNNNNNNNNNNNAACUACACCCCUUCAAAGUUACCACUGUAUUUUGUACAUAAGUUAUAAGGUUUUCGAUGUGUAAAAUACCGCGGUACUUACACAUAAGUUAGCAGGGUAUAUGUACAUUAACCUCCCCCGGUCAAAGUUACCAUGGGGGGUUGUUCAUGAGUUACCGGGUCUACAGUUCAUAUAUUAUCAUGGUACUUGCACCUAAAAACUGGGUGUGUUUCGGUAGCUUUUCCCAUAGGUCAAAAAUUAUCACGAUGUUUUUGCGUAACUUAUCACGCCUAUAGCACGUGUGCCCCUCAUGAGACUAAACAUUAUGUGACUUCCUCGUGGCACGCCAUGUGUUGCAUUCAUCCAAGAGGCUCACGCGCGAGGCGAGUGUAUGUUUUUAACAACUUUUUUUCCUUUGGUAAAAAAGUUACCAUCAUGUUUAUAUUGCAAGUUAUCGGUUAUGCGAUGCUUAUAUUAUCAUGUUAUUUACACAAAAAAUAUUGGGGAUGUUUUGUACAACUUUUUUCUGGGACAAAAAGUUAUCAUGGUGAUUCUAGGUAACUUAUCAGGCCCGUAGUGCUUAAAAUAUCAUGCUAUUUACACAAAAUUUAUGAGGAGUAUGUUUCAGCAACAAAUUCCCCUCACAGGUCAAAAAUUUAUCAUGGUGUUUAGUUAUCGCAGUGCAUAUGUUUUCAUGCUAUUUACACAUAAAAAUGCCAGAGGAGGGAGGUAUACUACCGUGCUAUUUACACAGAAGAUACCGGAGUAUCUUUAAAAAAAUUACCCUACGGUCAAAGUUAUCAUGGUGUUUCUACCUCAGUUAUCAGAUGUGCGCUGCGUAUAUUACCAUCUCUUUACACGUAAAUUAUCGGGUAUCUUUUCACAUUUGUCUUUCCAAUGGUUAAAGUUACCAUGAUGUUUAUAUCUAAAUUAUCAGUUCUAUGGCGUGAAUGUUAUCGUGCUAUUUACAGAAAUUACCGGGGGGCGGGUUCAACAAAUUUAUUCCCAAUGAUCAAAGUUACCAUGAUGCUUGAAACAAAAAGUUUUUCAGUGCUAACAUAUUAAAGGCAAAAACAUGUCAAAAAUAGUAUUUCCCUUAACUUGUUCAACAAUGAGUGUCAUAGAUGAGGUGGUUAGUUCCCUUUGUUGAUUACUUGCAGACCAGAGAUCAAAUCCUAGUACAAGCAUUAUUUUUUCCAAAAAUCGGAAAGGCGCGUGGAGCCAUAAUUGACAAUUAAAAUUAGGAAGGCACGAGCGGAUGCGUGGAGCCAUAAUUUCUGCCACACGGUUGCCAUAUACAUAUUUCGAUAAAUUUGAAUGAUUGCAAGUUUCUAAAGGAAAACAAUGGUAAAUGACAAACGCAAUAAACAUAAUAGAUAUCUCAUAUAUGUAUUUUUUUGAGGGAAUCUCAUAUAUGUUUUGUUGAAGUAGCAGGCGCGGAAUUAAAAUAUUAAUUCUUAUAUAGCACUGAGAUAUCUAAUGGCCCUAGUUUUGCUCACACUAAUUGUUGUAUUUAGAUUUUCCAGAAUCACUUGGUCAGAGAUCAUGGAAGCAUUGAUCUUGAAUAAUUAAAGAGAAAUCCCACCUGACUCAGUAAAGCAAGAUACUCGGUAUCUAUCCUUGAACUUCUGCUGGUAACAUUUUCUAGUGCUUGGUUCAAGAUCAGGCGCAUCAUAGUUGAACUUCAAAAUGAUGUUUAACUCAAACCAGAAAUAAGUUCGAGGUGUAAAUAUUCCUUUAAGCCGAACAUUGCCUUUCUUUGCAUAAUUUUCUGCAAACUACAUCUUGAAAAAAUUAACGGAACUCUUCCUAAUCCAACAGACACCAAACUACAUAAAUGAGCCCCCCAAAAGAAGCAUGGAAAUGAGCAAUUGUACAGUAGUAGAUUUAAUCCUUGAGUAGAUAUAACCUCGCCGCCGGAGGCCAUGGCCGGGCGAAGCCUGUGCGGUGGUGGCGGCGGCGGGGCCUUUUGUUCUGGUGGCUUGAUGCGUGUGGUGGUUUAAGGCGUCACGGCGGGCGGCUGGGCGACGGCCGUCGGAUUUCGAAUGGCGGCGGGUUGAUGCGCUGUGCCUCAACCUGAAUCUGCAGAUCCUGGUGGUUGGCGUCAUGUACAUGUCCCUGGGCGUGCUCUAGAGGAUGCGUUGUUCCAAGAUCCAACUGCUCCCCACGCACAAGGACUGAAGGACGCAUCAGAUGUGCUGCAUGCGUUUAUCUGCCGGCUGUUCCACUGCUUCCAUCCCUGAUCCACCAUGGGUGGACCGCCAGGCCACCAAGCCACCUCACGGCGUGUGUGGAUGGGCUGAUGGUUGCUUGGCGGGAGCCAUGGCGCAGCGGCAACCACGACGACCGUCUGAAUAGGCGCAACUAUGGAGCAGGAUCGGUACGACCGUGAAAGGUUUGAUUUCCUGGAUCCGGCUUCUCCUUGUCUGGCGACUGCGGCGGCAACAGUGAACACACCGAACUGUGGUGGUGACCGGCUACGAAUUACGGUGGCCAUUGAAAAAUCUCUGUGAUGGUUCCCUUCUUCAGAUCCAGUGGUUGUCUUCGAGAGUGCAAUACAAUCUACAGAAGAAGGCUUGACGCACAAGGUACGGUUGUGCAGCAACAGCGGUCGGUUUUCUAGCCUAUGAAUGUAGCUGCUGUGUUCGCGGAAAAGUGGUGGUGACAACACAUGGUUAACUUCCAUAAGCUCCGGGGUGAAAACCUACGUUUGACCCAAGUUGGUCAUAACUGGCAAUGACGAUGUUUCCGCAUCAUUGCCUUGUUGAAGGAAUUGCUCGGAUAUGCUCAAACCGGUUCUUCAGGGUGAAAACCUUGAAUCUGACAUUGGUGGUUGGAUCUGGUGACGGCGGCGUUUGAGCGCCGCUCCCUUGCUGAAGGCGUUGCUGUUGAAGAACCUUGUUAUCCUUGUGAUGUCAUGAGAUGAUUGAUGCGGAUAUGGCCAUAGUUAUAGUUUGUCGAUCACCGAUUUGAUAGCUUCAGGGUUUUUCUUUUCCUCGUCUAGGCAUAGCUUUGGUCUCAUGUAACUUUGCUAUUUGCCAGCGUGUUUGUGUGUGUGCGCGUUGGGGGUUGGUUGUGUGCAUCCUAACUAUGCAGAGGCCGAGUGUGUGCUCAUUGUGUUUAUAUCUUCUUGAUUUUUCAUUUUGAGUCAAUAAAAUCCACCCUUUACCAAAAAAGAUAUAUCAUCUUUCAAGUCCAUUAGAAUGCAAUAUGAAGUGUCAGAUCAGGAUGCCAGAUAAGUGACAACAUAUUAGAAUAUCAUGAAAAGGUAUAUGUUAGUACUGGGAUAUAGAUUGUAAAUAGCCAGAGACAAAAGGGAUACUUAUCGUGCAACAAAACCGAGCAACGCCCAUCCAGCUGGAUAUAUGCGUAUCAAGGGUGCCUGUCGGGGGAGUUACCCGCGGCUAGACCUGGCUUUGAGGAUAAGUCAUCUCUGGAGUUAAGUCGUUUCUGGAGUUAAGUCAUCUCUGGAGUUAAGUCGGCCGACUACAAUCAUAAUCCGGCUACAAUCAUGACCCGGCCUGCUACAGGAUCUGGACCUAGGCAAAGUUCCGUCCAGAAGGAGUCCAAAUACAAGAUGGAGACCCUGACUUGGAAGACACAGAGGAUGUAGAGGACUUAGAGUAGGACUCCGACUGCGGGUAUAACCCAGAAUCUCUUCUAACCCCAGAGACUCGACUAUUAUAUAAGCAAGUCCAUGGGUCAUCAGAAGACAAGUUUUUAUACAGACAAGUCUUGAGACAGAUAUUUUGAUAGGUCUCGGGACAGAUGUUUUGAUAGGUCUCGAGACAAAGGUAGCGAAAUAGCGCCCUUGAAAUCGAGACCACCACAAUCAAUAGCAAUCAAGUAGGUCGAUGUAGGCUUUUACCUCCACCGUGCGGGGCCAAACCUGGGUAAACUCGCAUCUUCUCAUUUCCGAUCAACCCCAUCCAAGCUUCCACCUAGCAAGGAUGCCUCACAACUUAGUCUUCUCACGAAGACAUCUGCCGUGACAAAACCAAUAAUGUGCCACAACUGGCAUAACCCGAUAAAUCUCGUGUAACAAAACCGAGGAAUGCCCAUCUGGUUGGAUAUAUGUGUAUCAAGGGCGCCACAACUGGUAUAACCCGGUAAAUCAAAACGUUCAUGAAAUAUAUUAACCUGAAUCAUGGGUUGCUUGCCAUAAUUUGAGCGAUAGCAGUACCAUACCCAUGCAUAUGUGUGAUACGUCUUCGUCGUAUCUACUUUUCCAAACACUUUUGCCCUUGUUUUGGACUCUAACUUGCAUGAUUUGAAUGGAACUAACCUGGACUGACGUUGUUUUCAGCAGAAUUGCCAUGGUGUUAUUUUUGUGCAGAAAUAAAAGUUCUCGAAAUGACCUGAAAAUCCACGGAGAAUUAUUUUGGAAUAUAUAAAAAAUACUGGAAGAAAGAUCCACGUCAGGGGGGCCUCCACCUGUCCACGAGGGUGGGGGCGCCCUACUGGGCGCGCCCCCUGCCUCGUGGGCCCCCUGACGCUUCACCGACCUCAACCCUGACUCCAUAUAUUCACUUUCGGGGAGAAAAAACCAAGGAGAAGGAUUCAUCGCGUUUUACGAUACGGAGCCACCGCCAAGCCCUAAACUCUCUCGGGAGGGCUGAUCCGGAGUCCGUUUGGGGCUCCGGAGAGGGCAAUCCGUCGCCAUCGUCAUCAUCAACCUUCCCCCAUCACCAAUUUCAUGAUGAUCACCGCCGUGCGUGAGUAAUUCCAUCGUAGGCUUGCUGGACGAUGAUGGGUUGGAUGAGAUUUAUCAUGUAAUCGAGUUAGUUUUGUUAGGGUUUGAUCCCUAGUAUCCACUAUGUUCUGAGAUUGAUGUUGCUAUGACUUUGCUAUGCUUAAUGCUUGUCUCUAGGGCCCGAGUGCCAUGAUUUCAGAUCUGAACCUAUUAUGUUUUCAUCAAUAUAUGAGAGUUCUAAAUCCUAUCUUGCAAGUCUAUAGUCACCUACUAUGUGUUAUGAUCUGGCAACCCCGAAGUGACAAUAAUCAGGACCAUUUCUGGUGAUGACCGUAGUUUGAGGAGUUCAUGUAUUCACUAUGUGUUAAUGCUUUGUUCCGGUACUCUAUUAAAAGGAGGCCUUAAUAUCCCUUAGUUUCCAAUAGGACCCCGCUGCCACGGGAGGGUAGGACAAAUGAUGUCAUGCAAGUUCUUUUCCAUAAGCACGUGUGACUAUAUUCGGAAUACAUGCCUACAUUACAUUGAUGAACUGGAGCUAGUUCUGUGUCACCCUAGGUUAUGACUGUUACAUGAUGAACCGCAUCCGGCAUAAUUCUCCAUCACCGAUCCAUUGCCUACAAGCUUUCCAUAUAUUGUUCUUCACUUAUUUACUUUUCCGUUGCUAUUUUAUCAUCACUAUAAAACACCAAAAAUAUUACUUUUGCUACUGUUACCUUUUACCACCGUUACCAUUACUAUCAUAUUACUUUGCUACUAAAUACCUUGCUGCAGAUAUUAAGUUUCCAGGUGUGGUUGAAUUGACAACUCAGCUACUAAUACUUGAGAAUAUUCUUUGGCUCCCCUAGUGUCGAAUCAAUAAAUUUGGGUUGAAUACUCUACCCUCGAAAACUAUUGUGAUCCCCUAUACUUGUGGGUUAUCAAGUCUAUUUUUUGGCGCCGUUGCCGGGGAGCAUAGCUCUAUUCUUUGAGUCACUUGGGAUUUAUACCUGCUUAUCAUUAUAAAGAACUUGAAAGAUCCAAGAACCAAAAUUUAUCCCUCAACUACGAGGGGAGGUAAGGAACUGCCAUCUAGCUCUGCACUUGAUUCACCUUCUGUUUUGAGUAAGCUUGCGACACCUAAACCUGCUUCUGCUAUUAAUUCUGAUAUGUCGCAUGUUAUUGAUGAUGCCACUUCUGCUAUGCAUGAUACUUAUGAUGAAACUACUUCUAUGCUUGAUACUACUGUGCCACUUGGUGAAUUUCUUGAUGAACAAGUUGCUAGGGCUAGAGAGAAUGAAAUUAUUGAAACUGAUAAUAUUGAUGAAAGUGAUGAUGAAGACUCCCCCUAGAUAUGAAUUACUUGUUGUGCUCGAGGGCUAUGUUAUGGAUGAAGAAACUGCUAGAGAUUUUCUUGCUUGCAAUGAUAGGAUGAUCUUAAGAAAUUAUUAGCUAAGCCGAAACAAAAAACUCUGAAUGCUAGAAUGAAAUAUGAUUCUGCUUAUGCUACUUCACCUAUCUUUGUUACUAAUAAGGAUUAUGAUUUCUCUGUCGACCCUGAUAUAAUUACUUUGGUUGAAUCUGAUCCUUUCUAUGGCUAUGAAUCUGAAACUGUUGUGGCACAUCUUACUAAAUUAAAUGAUAUAGCCACCCUGUUCACUAAUGAUGAGAAAACUCGCUACUAUUAUAUCCUUAAAUUAUUUCCGUUCUCAUUAAAGGGUGAUGCUAAGAUAUGGUUUAAUUCUCUUGAUCCUGGUUGUGUGCGUAGUCUCCAGGAUAUGAUUUAUUACUUCUCUGCUAAAUAUUUCCCCGCUCAUAAGAAACAAGCUGCUUUAAGGGAAAUAUAUAAUUUUGUGCAAAUUGAAGAAGAGAGUCUCCCACAAGCUUGGGGGAGGCUUCUCCAAUUACUUAAUGCUUUGCCUGAUCAUCCUCUUAAGAAAAAUGAAAUACUUGAUAUCUUUUAUAAUGGACUAACCGAUGCUUCCAGAGACCACCUGAAUAGUUGUGCUGGUUGUGUUUUCAGGGAAAGAACACGAGAUGAAGCUGAAAUUCUAUUGAAUAAUAUGUUGACUAAUGAAAAUAAUUGACACUUCCUGAUCCAAUUCGUGAACCAACUCCUAAGCCAACUCCGAAGAGAAGGGGUAUUCUAUUUCUCAGUCCUGAAGAUAUGCAAGAGGCAAAGAAAUCUAUGAAGAAAAAGGUAUUAAAGCUGAAGAUGUUAAGAAUUCAUCACCUAUUAAAGAAAUACAUGGUCUUAAUUUACAACCUGUUGAAGAAAUACAUGGUCUUAAUCCAUCACCUAUUGAAGAAAUACAUGGUCUUGAUAACCCGACACAGGUAGUAAAGGUAAAUUCUCUCUAUAGAUAUGAUAAAGUUGAAAUCCCAUUUACUAAGUUUGCUAGCCCAUGCUUGGAUGAGUUUGAUGACUUUAUGGUCAAACAAGAAAACUUCAAUGCUUAUUUUGGUAGAGAAUUAAAACACAAUGCUGAUAUGCUUGAACACUUGGGUGAUUAUAUGGCUAAUGUUAAAGGUGAACUUAAACUUAUUAGUAAACAUGCUUCUAUGGUUACCACUCAAGUAGAACAAGUACUUAAAGCACAGAAUGAUUUGCUCAAUGAAUUGAAUAGUAAGAAAAAUGAUAAUGUUGUUAGAGUUAUGACUAGAGGUGGUAAAAUGACCCAGGAACCUUUGUACCCUGAGGGCCAUCCUAAGAGAAUUGGGCAAGAUUCUCAGAGAACUAAUAUAGAUGCACCUAGUCCUUCUAAGAGGAAGAAAAAGAAAAAUGAUAGGACUUUGCAUGCUUCUAGUGAACCUGUUAUUGACACACCUGAGAAUCCCAAUGAUAUUUCUAUUUCUGAUGCCGAAACACAAUCUGGUAAUGAACAUGAACCUAGUAAUAAUGUUAAUGAUGAUGUUCAUGUUGAUGCUCAACCUAGUAAUGACAAUGAAGUAGAGAUUGAACCUGCCGUUGAUCUUGAUAAGCCACAAUCAAAGAAUCAACGUUAUGAUAAGAGAGACUUUGUUGCUAGGAAGCACGGUAAAGAAAGAGAACCAUGGGUUCCGAAACCCAUGCCUUUUCCUCCUAAACCAUACAAGAAAAAGGAUGAUGAGUAUUUUGAGCGCUUUGCUGAAAUGAUUAGACCUAUCUUCUUGUGUAUGCGUUUGACUGAUAUGCUUAAAAUGAAUCCUUAUGCUAAGUACAUGAAAGAAAUUGUUACUAAUAAAAGAAAGAUACCGGAAGCUGAAAUUUCCACCAUGCUUGCUAAUUAUACUUUUAAGGGUGGAAUACCUAAGAAACUAGGAGAUCCAGGAGUACCAACCAUACCAUGUUCCAUUAAAAGAAACUAUGUUAAAACUGCUUUAUGUGAUCUUGGAGCCGGUGUUAGUGUUAUGCCUCUCUCUUUAUAUCAUAGACUUGAUUUGAAUAAGUUGACACCUACUGAAAUAUCUUUGAAAAUGGCUAAUAAAUCAACUGCUAUACAUGUCGGUAUUUGUGAGGAUGUGCUUGUUGUGGUUGCAAAUGUUACUAUUUUAACGGACUUUGUUAUUCUUGAUAUUCCCGAGGACGAUAGUAUGUCUAUUAUUCUUGGAAGACCCUUUUUGAAUACUACAGGGCUGUUAUUGAUUGCACCAAAGGCAAUUUCACUUUUCAUGUUAAUGGCAAUGAGCAUACGGUACACUUUCCGAGGAAACAACCUCAAGUUCAUAGUAUAAACUCUCUUGGAAAAAUUCCAUCGAUUACUAUUGGAGGUUUUGAAUUUCCUCUUCCUACUAUCAAGAAGAAAUAUGAUAUUCUUAUUGUUGGGGAUGUGCAUAUCCCCGUUGAGGUAACCUAGUGUUAUUCGAAAAUUCUCCGGUUCCAUGUUAUUCAGAAUGAGUUUGUUAACAAGACCUGAUCAACCUUGUUAGUGGAUUCCUUUUGAUGAGCAUGAGAUGGAUGAAUUUAGAAAACACAACUCUCUGUACCGUCUUUUUACUUUCUGUUAUUUAUAUUAAAUAAAGCAAAAAUAAUAAUUUCCGUCAGUUUUCUGAAUUAUCCAUGCAAUAAAAAAAUACCCCGAAAAUAAAAGUUCUUCAAAUGCCCUAAAAUUUAAAUAUGAUUUUUUCUGGAAUAUUUGAGAAUAUCUGGUACUGAGAACACAACAGGGGGAGCAAGCACCUGGCCACGAGGGUGGAGGGCGCGCCCUACCCCCCUGGGCGCGCCCCCUGCCUCGUGGGCCCACGGUGACUCCCCUCCACUUAUUCCAGCUACCACACACUCCUUCUUCUUCCCAGAAACAUCACUAACCAGCUCAAACCCAAGUCCAAGCUCAUUUUGAUGCCAUUUUUGAUCUCCUUGCUCAAAGCACCUCUCACAAAACUGCUUUGGGGGAUUGUUCCUUGGCAUGUGACUCCUCCAAUGGUCCAAUUAGUUUUUGUUCCAGUGAUUUAUUCAUUGCAUAUUUUUGCUGCUUAGGUGACCCUAUUCUUGAGCUUGCAUGUCAAAUUUAUAUGGUCAAAAGUAGUUUUGAUGCAUGAUAUUGCCUCUAGGCACUUGUAGGAGUAGUUGCUAUCAAUAUUGUUGAGUUUGGUUCACUUUUAUUUUGAAGUUACUAAAAAAAAUUCAGAAAUUUUCAGAAAAAGGUGAAGAGAUUUUUGAGGGGCUCAUCGAGCCGAAGCUCGAAGGAUAAGCAAAUUGAGGAGGAUAAGAGGCCCAAAUAUAAUCUUCCUCGCACCACGGAGGUUCGGCCAUGUGAAUGGCCUUGUGGUGAUUUCUUGAGAGCAGCCGGGAUUUAUGAUGAUUUCUAUGAAUUGGCUGAGAAUGCAGGCCUCACCGCCUUCCUCCACGACCGAUGCGAACAGUAUCUCUUACUCACCAAUAUCUUUAUGCAAAACUUUCAUUUCCAUGAUAGGAGCUCACCACCUAUGGUGGAAUUUUAUUUAUAUGAUGAGCAUAAGAAGAUGUCACUUCAAGAUUUUUGUCGGGUUUGUUUGAUCCCUUUCGAGGGCAGCGUAGAGGAACCACAUCGUGACGAUGUGGAUGGGUUUAUUGAUACCAUUACUGUAGGGGAAACGAGGAAGGUUUCCGACCCACGAAUUACUAGCAUACACUUUCCUGUUCUACGUUACUUUGUUAUAUUUGCUAGUACAUGCUUAAUUGGGCGCGAAAACUGUGGAAACCUGAGUGCCCCUGAUAUUGUUAUUUUGUUCCAUGCCUUAUUUUGUGAUGACACAUUUAGUAUGGGCGCUAUUAUUGCAAAGCGGUUAAAUCUUAACCGUACUAAGGGCCCCAUCCUUGGAGGCAUCUUCGCCUCGCGCCUCGCUGCACACUUUAACAUACCUAUUAGGCAUUAUGAGAAGGAAGAGAAGUUGCUGCCUCCUGUUUAUUUAGAUUAUAAAAGUAUGGUAGCACAUGAUUUUAUUGUUAAGAAUAGGGAAAAUGCGCUUAAGUACAAAUUAAUAUUUGGUAAAAAUCAUCCUGAGACUAUUACCCUGCCUGCUCCUUCAUUGUUUGAUUUAUCUGCAGGCAAGUACCUUGUUCCGUUGGAGGCCAUUCACACCUACCGGAACCCUACAUCAGCUACAGAGCCAGAGCCGGAAUCACAAUUUGAGCCUCCACGACAGUCUGAUUACCAGUGGGAUCCGGAGGUGAUUGCCAACCAGUGGCAAUCCGAGGCUUCUUCACAGUACGACCCCAACUAUUACUUUGGAUAUCCGCCAGGCCAGCCGUGGCCAUAGACCAACUUAGGCCAAAAGCCUAAUCUUGGGGAAGUACGUAUUUCUCACCGACAUUACAUUCAUGUUCACACACUCAUUGCUAGUUGUCGGUGCUCAUACUUUUUCAUUGUAUCAUCCAUGCUAGUUUGUUUUACUUUUUAUGCUUUCUUCUUGUGUGUUUAAUAAACCUUAAGAAAAACAAAAAAAGUUGUAGCUUUCAGCUAGUUUACUUCUCAUGCUGUAGUAGUAAUAAUUAAAAAGAAACCCCAAAAAGAUUUCUCGUUCUUGUUUUUCUUGUUGGGAGCUUUCCCAUGUAAAUAGUGUUAUUUCUUUUCUUUCCUUUGGGGGUCGAGCGGAGAAGACCAUAAGUAAAAUGUUAAAGUGGCUCUUAUAUGCAUUAUCGUUGAUCUGACAAAGAGCCCAUAUUACCCUGUCUUCUCUCUUGAAUUGAAUGCUUGCAGAUUCCAGCUUAGUCCAAUGCACGUGAACUAUUAUUAUUAUCCACACUAUUCGGUCGUGCAAGUGAAAGGCAAUAAUGAUGAUUAUAUGAUGAACUUAUUGAGAUAAGAAAAGCUGGUAUGAACUCAACCUCUCUUGUUUUUGUAAAUAUGAUUAGUUCAUCGUUCCUGAUUCAGCCUAUUAUGAAUAAACAUGUUUGCAAUGACAAUUAGAUAUUAUAGUUGCUUAUGCCAUGCUUAAUUAUCUAGGAGCUUAUAAUGGUUUACCUUGCGUGCCAACAUUGUCGUGGUAUUCACACGGGGGGCUUGCGAGUCGACAGAUGCCACAAGGGCUUAGGGUGAGGGUAACACUGCUGCUGAUAGGACCGGGAGCGGGUAUGCGAGUAGCACACGCUAGUUUACCCAGGUUCGGGGCUCUCCGGAGAGAUAAUACCCCUACUCCUGCAUGUCUGAGUAUAUAUCUGGGGUGUACAUCGGGCAGUACAAAGUGCUCCUAGAGCUGUAUCCGAGGUCAGUGCCAUGGGCAUCUGACUUGUAUAUGUCUCAUGUGUAUAUGAGCUAGCUAGCAAGUGAGCAUGAGAGUGCUCCACUGUGAGUGAACAUGUAUGCAUGCGUGAGGGGUGUGUCCAUGGGCAUGUAUAAGUAUGAGCCUAUGUGUGUCUUCUCCUUUAUAUAGGACAGGGUAGCUUAGGAUGUAAGCUUGGUAGUGGGCAUGGGUGGUGGUAGCGUUGGUUGUAAGCUACCUUGGUAGCUUACAAACCAAGCUAUGUAGUGGCAUGGGCUAGGCAUGGUGCAUGUCAUGCUUGUCCCCUGGGCACUUUAUAGAAUAGUGUCAAGGGGACAGGUACACUGUAGAUGAUGGCGUCGCGGUACGGUUGUCUUGUCCGCGGUAUGGCCGUCUCGUCGGGGUCUUGUCGAUGUUGGGUCGAGCUGCAGUCGGCGGCCGGCUGGUUGGCGCAGUCGGCAGCCGGCUGAGGAGCCGGGAGGAGCAGCCGGGCAGUCGGACUGAGGGGCUUUGCUAGCCCCAUGUCUUGAAAUAUUGUCUUGCCGUCUUCGGGGUACCCGUGGUCAAUUACUCCGUCAGUAGCCCCCAAGCCUCCGGGCAACUCGGCAAAGUUGGGCGGAGGUUUUUUGGCGAGUGUUCAUGGAAAUGAUCAUGAAAAAGACAAAGUUAGUCCACGCAGAUAUAUCAAAUGUUUACUUUUAGCAUUGCAAGUUUUAUGCGGAGGGUGCCGACUCGGUUUUGUUCGAGCCCCCUUUAAUCUUUUUCAUGUUCCCUCCGCUUUUUGGCUUGUGCUCUCGCUCGCCGGACAGCCGCUCUGCGGUCUGUGGCUGAGAGUGGGCCGCGAAGUGGAGUGUACAGUACUCAGAGUCUGGGAGCAGAUUCGACCGAGCAGAUACUUGUAAAGGAAACGACCGGGUCGCCCGAUCUGUUUUUCUUCCCGAACGUUUUUCGCGUGGGUGGCCUCCAGCGUUCACUCUUGCUAGUCGGACAGCCGCUCUGCGGUCUGUGACUAAGAGUGGGCCUUUGGUACCGUGCAUGGUACUAAGCUGUCUGCGGGAUCUAACGUCUCAGGCCAAGCGGCCAGCCCCCGGGCCAACUCCAGCUGGCGCCGGGGCAAACAGUGAUGCUACUGUAAUAAAACGCGGAGACAGCCCCCGAGCUUCGCUCGGGGUUAUCCGUGCUUGCGUGGUGCAAAAAAUAUGCGGGUGAGGAGCUCACAUUGAUUUUCGUGUAGUCGCGAUCGUUGUCGAAGACAGGCGGCACGGCUCGGCGCUCGCGGAGCGCGCCGGCGUACCCGUUGGGUGUAGCCUUUGAGCCUCCGGGUGCUCGAAGGGGGGGGGGGUCCCGGCCGGUCAGGCUCGACCGGCCAGGCGGCGAGGCAUCUUGCAGCGCCCUUUUUCUUCUUUUUCUCUUCUGCCGGCUGCUGGCAACCGGAACAAACUCUUCUCUUGUGUGCAAUCUUCCGUGGGGGCGCACCAGCGCACCCACUUGGUGUAGCCCCGAGAUUUGGGCCGACUGCUGAGCAGUCGGGCCGGAUCUUCUGGCAGCUACUUUGUCUUCUUUUUCACGGGGGCGCGUUAGCGCACCCGCUAGGUGUAGCCCCCGAGAUUCGGGCCGACUGCUGAGAAGUCGGGCCGGGUCUUCCGGUGACUACUUUGUCUUCUUCUUUUUGUCUGCCAGUACAGCCAGACAUACACUUCUUCUUCUGCUUCGUUUCUCGGAUGCCUACUUUUUUUUCCAGUCAGCCAGCUGGGCACCCGAUGUGACUUUUCUCUCUUCAGCCGGCUAGCGGCUUUGACUUUUCUUUUAUCUUCUUCACAUUGGCUCAACAGUCGGCAGGAGCGGGCAGGGAGCCGGCAGCCGGCCAGGCCGGCCGGGUGGUGGGUGAAGCCGGGUGGCGGGCGGAGCCGGCCUUCCGGGUGGCGGGAGCCGGCUGCGCAGGCGCGGACGGGGAGUCGGCGACCGGGUGGCGGGACUUGGGCGUCUUGGCGCAGUGUGGACGGCGGCUGGCGCGCCUGAGGCAGCAAGCGCGCGGGAGGCGGCCGGCCCGGCAUGGUGGCGGAGCAGCCGGCCAGGCGCAGGCGGCAUGGUGGAGCGGCCUCNNNNNNNNNNNNNNNNNNNNNNNNNNNNNNNNNNNNNNNNNNNNNNNNNNNNNNNNNNNNNNNNNNNNNNNNNNNNNNNNNNNNNNNNNNNNNNNNNNNNNNNNNNNNNNNNNNNNNNNNNNNNNNNNNNNNNNNNNNNNNNNNNNNNNNNNNNNNNNNNNNNNNNNNNNNNNNNNNNNNNNNNNNNNNNNNNNNNNNNNNNNNNNNNNNNNNNNNNNNNNNNNNNNNNNNNNNNNNNNNNNNNNNNNNNNNNNNNNNNNNNNNNNNNNNNNNNNNNNNNNNNNNNNNNNNNNNNNNNNNNNNNNNNNNNNNNNNNNNNNNNNNNNNNNNNNNNNNNNNNNNNNNNNNNNNNNNNNNNNNNNNNNNNNNNNNNNNNNNNNNNNNNNNNNNNNNNNNNNNNNNNNNNNNNNNNNNNNNNNNNNNNNNNNNNNNNNNNNNNNNNNNNNNNNNNNNNNNNNNNNNNNNNNNNNNNNNNNNNNNNNNNNNNNNNNNNNNNNNNNNNNNNNNNNNNNNNNNNNNNNNNNGCCACGGGGUGGGCGGGAGCCGGCCGGGCCUGCCGCAGCCGGUGCGGGAGCAGGCGGCCGCGCAGCAGCCGGCGCGGGAGCUAGCCGGGCCCGGCCAGGCGCGGGGCGCCGUCGGGGAGCCGGAUGAUGGAGGGAGGCGGUCGGGCCGGCUUGCCGUAUAUAAAUCUUUGCCUCCGGACCAUUCCGGAACUCCUCGUGACGUCCGGGAUCUCAUCCGGGACUCCGAACAACUUUCGGGUUACCGCAUACUAAUAUCUCUAUAACCCUAGCGUCACCGAACCUUAAGUGUGUAGACCCUACGGGUUCGGGAGACACGUAGACAUGACUGAGACGACUCUCCGGCCAAUAACCAACAGCGGGAUCUGGAUACCCAUGUUGGCUCCCACAUGCUCCUCGAUGAUCUCAUCGGAUGAACCACGAUGUCGAGGAUUCAAUCAAUCCCGCAUACAAUUCCCUUUGUCUAUCGGUAUGUUACUUGCCCGAGAUUCGAUCGUCGGUAUCCCGAUACCUUGUUCAAUCUCGUUACCGGCAAGUCUCUUUACUCGCUCCGUAACACAUCAUCCCAUGAUCAACUCCUUGAUCACAUUGUGCACAUUAUGAUGAUGUCCUACCGAGUGGGCCCAGAGAUACCUCUCCGUUUACACGGAGUGACAAAUCCCAGUCUCGAUUCGUGCCAACCCAACAGACACUUUCAGAGAUACCCGUAGUGCACCUUUAUAGUCACCCAGUUACGUUGUGACGUUUGGCACACCCAAAGCACUCCUACGGUAUCCGGGAGUUGCACAAUCUCAUGGUCUAAGGAAAUGAUACUUGACAUUAGAAAAGCUUUAGCAUACGAACUACAUGAUCUUUGUGCUAGGCUUAGGAUUGGGUCUUGUCCAUCACAUCAUUCUUCUAAUGAUGUGAUCCCGUUAUCAAUGACAUUCAAUGUCCAUGGUCAGGAAACCGUAACCAUCUAUUGAUCAACGAGCUAGUCAACUAGAGGCUUACUAGGGACAUGGUGUUGUCUAUGUAUCCACGCAUGUAUCUGAGUUUCCUAUCAAUACAAUUCUCUCAUGGACAAUAAACGAUUAUCAUGAACAAGGAAAUAUAAUAAUAACCAAUUUAUUAUUGCCUCUAGGGCAUAUUUCCAACAGUCUCCCACUUGCACUAGAGUCAAUAAUCCAGUUCACAUCGAUAUGUGAUUAACACUCAAGGUCACAUCCCCAUGUGACUAACACCCAAAGAGUCUACUAGAGUCAAUAAUCUAGUUCACAUUACCAUGUGAUUAACACUCGAUGAGUUCUGGGUUUGAUCAUGUUAUGCUUGUGAGAGAUGUUAUAGUCAACGGAUCUGAACCUUUUAGACCCGUGUGUGCAUUACAAAUCUCUAUGUCAUUUCCUAGAUGUAGCUACCACGUUCUAUUUGGAGCUAUUCCAAACAAUUGUUCUACUAUACGAAUCCAGUUUACUACUCAGAAUAAUCUGGAUUAGUGUCAAAGUUUGCAUCGGCAUAACCCUUUACGACGAACUCUUUUACCACCUCCAUAAUCGAGAAAAUUCCUUAGUCCACUAGUUACUAAGGAUAACUUUGACCGCUGUCCUGUGAUCCAUUCUUGGAUCACUCUUGUACCCCUUGACUGACUCAUGGCAAGGCACACUUCAGGUGCAGUACGCAGCAUAGCAUACUGUAGAGAGCCUAUGAUAAAAGCAUAGGGGACGACCUUCGUCCUUCCUCUUUCUUCUGCCGUGGUCGAGCUUUAAGUCUUAACUUCAUACCUUACAACUCAGGCAAGAACUCCUUCUUUGACUGAUCCAUCUUGAACACCUUCAAUAUCAUGUCAAGGUAUGUGCUCAUUUGAAAGUACCAUUAAGAAUUUUGAUCUAUCCUUAUAGAUCUUGAUGCUCAAUGUUCAAGUAGCUUAAUCCAGGCUAUCCAUUGAAAAACACUUUCCAAAUAACCCUAUAUGGUUUCCAGAAAUUCUACGUCAUUUCUGAUCAACAAUAUGUUAACAACAUAUAUUUAUCAGAAAUUCUAUAGUGCUCCCACUCACUUCUUUGGAAAUACAAGUUUCUCAUAAACUUUGUAUACACCCAAAACUUUGAUCAUCUUAUCAAAGCAUACAUUCCAACUCCGAGAUGCUUACUCCAGUCCUUAGAAGGAUUGCUGGAGCUUUGCAUACUUAUUAGCAUCUUUCAGGAUUGACAAAACCUUUCGGUUGUAUCACAUACAACCUUUCCUCAAGAAAAUCGUUGAGAAAACAAUGUUUUUGACAUCCUAUCUACAAGAUUUCACAAACAAUGCAGUAAUCGCUAAUAUAAUUCCAACAGACUCUUAGCAUCGCUACGAGUGAGAAAGUCUCAUCGUAGUCAACUCCUUGAACUUGUCGGAAAACAUCUUAACGACAAGUCGAGCUUUCUUAAUGGUGAUACCUACCAUCAUUGUCCGUCUUCCUUUUAAAAUCCAUAUGUACCUAACAGCCUUACGACCAUCAAGUAGUUCUCCCAAAGUCUACACUUUGUUUUCAUAUAUGGAUCCUCUCUCGGAUUAUAUGGCCUUGAGCCAUUUUGGAAUCUAGGCCCACCAUCGCUUCUCCAUAGUUCGUAGGUUCAUUCUUGUCUAGCAACAUGACUUCCAAGAUAGGAUUACGUACCACUCUGAAGUAGUACGCAUCCUUGUCAUCCCACGAGGUUUGGUAGUGACUUGAUCUGAAGUUUCAUGAUCACUAUCAUAAGCUUCCACUUCAAUUGGUGUAGGUGCCACAGGAACAACUCUUGUGCCCUGCCACACACUAGUUGAAGAGACGGGUCAACAACCUUAUCAAGUCUCCACCAUCCUCCCACUCAAUUCUUUCGAGAGAAACUUUUCCUCGAGAAAGGACCCGAUUCUAGAAACAAUCCCUUAUUGCUUUCGGAUCUGAGACAGGAGGUAUACCCAACUGUUUUGGGUGUCCUAUGAAGAUGCAUUUAUCCGCUUAGGGUUCGAGCUUAUCAGCCUGAAACUUUUCCACAUAAGCGUCGCAGCCCCAAACUUUUAAGAAAUGACAGCUUAGGUUUCUCUAAACCAUAGUUCAUACGGUGUCAUCUCAUCGGAAUUACGUGGUGCCCUAUUUAAAGUGAAUGUGGUUGUCUCUAAUGCCUAACCCAUAAACUAUCGUGGUAAUUCGAUAAGAGACAUCAUGGUAUGCAUCAUAUCCAAUAGGGUGCAGUUAUGAUGUUCGGACACACCAUCACACUAUGGUGUUCCAGGCUGUAUUAGUUGUGAAACAAUUUCCACAAUGUCUUAAUUCUGUGCCAAACUCGUAAUUCAGAUAUUCAUCUCUAUGAUCAUAUCAUAGAUAUUUUAUCCUCUUGUCACGACGAUCUUUCAACUUCACCCUAAAAUUACUUGAACCUUUCAAUAAUUCAAACUCGUGAUUCAUCAAGUAAAUAUACUCAACAUCUACUCAAAUCAUCUGUGAAGUAAGAACAUAACGAUAUCCACUACACGCCUCAGCACUCAUUGGACUACGCACAUCAAGAUGUAUUACUUCCAACAAGUUGCUUUCUUGUUCCAUUUUACUGAAAAUGAGGCUUUCGGUCAUCUUGCCCAUGUGGUAUGAUUUGCAUGUCUCAAGUGAUUCGAAAUCAAGUGAGUCCAAACGAUCCAUUUGUAUAGAGUUUCUUCAUGCAUAUCUACCAACAAACAUGGUUCGCAUGUCUCAAUCCUUUCAAAAAUGAGUGAGUCCAAAGAUCCAUCAACAUGGAGCUUCUUCAUGCGUUUUAUACCGAUAUGACUUAAGUGGCAGUGCCACAAGUAGGUGGUACUAUCAUUACUAUCCUAUAUCUUUUGGCAUGAACAUGUGUAUCACUACGAUCGAGAUUCAAUAAACCAUUCAUUUUAGGCGUAAGACCAUUGAAGGUAUUAUUCAAAUAAACAAAGUAACCAUUAUUCUCCUUAAAUGAAUAACCGUAUCGCGAUAGACAUAAUCCAAUCAUGUCUAUGCUCAACGCAAACAUCAAAUAACAAUUAUUUAGGUUUUAAUACCAAUCUCGAUGGUAGAGGGAGCGUGCGAUGCUUGAUCAUAUCAACCUUGGAAACAUUUCCAACACAUAUAGUCAGCUCACCUUUAGCUAGUCUCCGUUUAUUCCGUAGCUUGAGUUACUAACACUUAGCAACUGAACCGGUAUCUAAUACCCUGGUGCUACUAGGAGUACUAGUAACGUACACAUUAACAUAAUGUAUAUCCAAUAUACUUCUAUCGUCAGUCUUCUCAUCUACCAAGUAUCUAGGGUAAUUCUGCUCCAGUGGCUGUUCCCCUUUAUUACAGAAGCACUUAGUCUCGGGCUUGGGUUCAACUUUGGGUUUCUUCACUUGAGCAGCAGCUGACUUGUCGUUUCAUGAAGUAUCCCUUUCUUGCCCUUGCCCUUCUUGAAACUAGUGGUUUCACCAACCGUCAACAAUUGAUGCUCCUUCUUGAUUUCUACUUUUGUGGUGUCAAACAUCGCGAAUAUCUCAAGGAUCAUCAUAUAUGUCCCUGAUAUAUUAUAGUUCAUCACGAAGCUCUAGCAGCUUGGUGGUAAUGACUUCAGAGAAACAUCACUAUCUCAUCUGGAAGAUCAACUCCCACUCAAUUCAAAUGAUUGUUGUACUCAGACAAUCUGAGCACAAGCUCAACAAUUGAGCUUUUCUCCCUUAGUUUGCAGGCUAAGAAAAUCGUCGGAGGUCUUAUACCUCUUAACGUGGGCACGAGCCUGAAAUCCCAAUUUCAGCCCUCGAAACAUCUCAUAUGUUUCGCGACGUUUUAAAACGUCUUCGGUGCCUCAACUCUAAACCAUUUAACUGAACUAUCAUGUAGUUAUCAAAAUGUGUAUGUCAGAUGUUCGCAACAUCCAUAGACGACGUUCGAGGUUCAGCACACUGAGCGGUGCAUCAAGGACAUAAGCCUUUUACUGUCUGCAUAAUUGCUACUAUCAACUUUCAACUAAUUUUUCUCUAGGAACAUAUCUAAAUAGUGGAACUAAAGCGCGAGCUAUGACAUAAUUUGCAAAAACCCUUUUGACUAUGUUCAGGAUAAUUAAGUUCAUGAACUCCCACUCAGAUAGACAUCCCUCUAGUCAUCUAAGUGAUUACAUGAUCCAAGUCAACUAGGCCGUGUCCGAUCAUCACGUGAGAUGGACUAGUCAACAUCGGUGAACAUCUUCAUGUUGAUCAUAUCUAUCAUACGACUCAUGCUCGACCUUUCGGUCUCUUGUGUUCCGAGGCCAUGUCUGUACAUGCUAGGAUCGUCAAGUCAACCUAAGUGUUUUGCAUGUGUUCCGAGGCCAUGUCUGUACAUGCUAGGCUCGUCAACACCGUUGUAUUCGAACGUAAGAAUCUAUCACACCCGAUCAUCACGUGGUGCUUCAAAACGACGAACUUUCGCAACGGUGCACAAUUAGGGGGAACACUUUCUUGGAAAUUUUAAUGAGGGAUCAUCUUAUUUACUACUGUCGUUCUAAGCAAAUAAGAUGUAUAAACAUGAUAAACAUCACAUGCAAUCAAAUAGUGACAUGAUAUGGCCAUCAUCACUUUGCUCCUUUUGAUCUCCAUCUUCGGGGCUCCAUGAUCAUCAUCGUCACCGGCAUGACACCAUGAUCUCCAUCAUCAUGAUCUCCAUCAUCGUGUCUUCAUGAAGUUGUCUCGCCAACUAUUACUUCUACUACUACAGCUAACGGUUAGCAAUAAAGUAAAGUAAUUACAUGGCGUUGUUCAAUGACACGCAGGUCAUAUAAUAAAUAAAGACAAUUCCUAUGGCUCCUGCCGGUUGUCAUACUCAUCGACAUGCAAGUCGUGAUUCCUAUUACAAGAACAUGAUCAAUCUCAUACAUCACAUAUCAUUCAUCACAAUCUUCUUGGCCAUAUCACAUCACAUAGAAUACCCUGCAAAAACAAGUUAGGCGUCCUCUAAUUGUUGUUUGCAUGUUUUAUGUGGCUGCUAUGGGUUUCUAGCAAGAACGUUUCUUACCUACGCAAAAACCACAACGUGAUAUGCCAAUUGCUAUUUACCCUUCAUAAGAACCCUUUUCAUUGAAUCCGAUCCGACUAAAGUGGGAGAGACAGACACCCGCUAGCCACCUUGUGCAACUAGUGCAUGUCAGUCGGUGGAACCAGUCUCAUGUAAGAGUACGUGUAAGGUCGGUCUGGGCCGCUUCAUCCCACAAUGCUGCCGAAUCAAGAUUGGACUAGUAACGGUAAGCAUAUUGAACAAAAUCAAUGCCCACAACUACUUUGUGUUCUACUCGUGCAUAGUAACUAUGCAUAGACCUAGCUCAUGAUGCCACUAUUGGGGAACGUAGCAUAAAUUCAAAAUUUUCCUACGUGUCACCAAGAUCUAUCUAUGGAGUCAUCUAGCAACGAGGGAGGAGUGGAUCUACAUACCCUUGUAGAUCGCACGCGGAAGCGUUCAAGAGAACGGGGUUGAUGGAGUCGUACUCGUCGUGAUCCAAAUCACCGAUGAUCCUAGCGCCGAACGGACGGCACCUCCGCGUUCAACACACGUACGGAGCAGCGACGUCUCCUCCUUCUUGAUCCAGCAAGGGGGAAGGAGAGGUUGAUGGAGAUCCAGCAGCACGAUGGCGUGGUGGUGGAAGUAGCGGGAUUCCAACAGGGCUUCGCCAAGCGCUGCGGGAGGAGGGAGAUGUGUCAUGGGAGGGAGAGGGAGGCGCCAGGGCUUAGGUGCGGCUGCCCUCCCUUCCCCCCACUAUAUAUAGGGCCAAGGGAGAGGGGGGGAGGGCGCAGCCUUGGCCCUUCCUCCAAGGAAGGGUGCGGCCAGGGAGGAGUCCAUCCUCCCCAAGGCACCUAGGAGGUGCCUUCCCCCUUUAGGACUCUUCCUUUCCCUUAUCUCUUGGCGCAUGGGCCUCUUGGGGCUGGUUCCCUUGGCCCAUAUAGGACAAGGCACACAACCCUAUAGCCCAUGUGGCCACCAGGGGCAGGUGGACCCCCUUGGUGGACCCCCGGACCCCUUUCGGCACUCCCGGUACAAUACCGAUAAUGCGCGAAACUUUUUCGGUGACCAAAACAAGACUUCUCGUAUAUAAAUCUUUACCUCCAGACCAUUCUGGAACUCCCCGUGACGUCCGGGAUCUCAUCCGGGACUCCGAACAACUUUCGGGUUACCACAUACUAAUAUCUCUAUAACCGUAGCGUCACCGAACCUUAAGUGUGUAGACCCUACGGGUUCGGGAGACACGUAGACAUGACCGAGACGACUCUCCGGCCAAUAACCAACAGCGAGAUUUGGAUACCCAUGUUGGCCCCCACAUGCUCCUCGAUGAUCUCAUCGGAUGAACCACGAUGUCGAGGAUUCAAUCAAUCCCGCAUACAAUUCCCUUUGUCUAUCGGUAUGUUACUUGCCCGAGAUUCGAUCGUCGGUAUCCCGAUACCUUGUUCAAUCUCGUUACAGGCAACUCUCUUUACUCGUUCCGUAACACAUCAUCCCGUGAUCAACUCCUUGAUCACAUUGUGCACAUUAUGAUGAUGUCCUACCGAGUGGGCCCAGAGAUACCUCUCCGUUUACACGGAGUGACAAAUCCCAGUCUCGAUUCGUGCCAACCCAACAGACACUUUCGGAGAUACCCGUAGUGCACCUUUAUAGUCACCCAGUUACUUGUGACGUUUGGCACACCCAAAGCACUCCUACGGUAUCCGGGAGUUACACAAUCUCAUGGUCUAAGGAAAUGAUACUUGACAUUAGAAAAGCUUUAGCAUACGAACUACAUGAUCUUUGUGCUAGGCUUAGGAUUGGGUCUUGUCCAUCACAUCAUUCUUCUAAUGAUGUGAUCCCGUUAUCAAUGACAUUCAAUGUCCAUGGUCAGGAAACUGUAACCAUUUAUUGAUCAACGAGCUAGUCAACUAGAGGCUUACUAGGGACAUGGUGUUGUCUAUGUAUCCACACAUGUAUCUGAGUUUCCUAUCAAUACAAUUCUAGCAUGGACAAUAAACGAUUAUCAUGAACAAGGAAAUAUAAUAAUAACCAAUUUAUUAUUGCCUCUAGGGCAUAUUUCCAACAAUAUUCACAGGUGCUUAUUUUCUUAGGAUAACUCAUAAUAACUGUCCCUAAGAAACUUGGCUACUAGAACUGGCAUACAAAUAACAUGUCAUGAUGAUAGCAAUGGAGGAGUGACGCACCAUAGCACACUGUAUAGGCUCACCGCUGCCUCUCCUUUUUUUGCGACGUUCCAUGAAAUUGCCACAUACAUCUUGUACUUUUUCAUUGUGUAACCCUAUCUGCAAGUUGACACGGCUAAUUUCAGACAUCUCUACAUGAUACAACAUUGCAUAUCCCUUGCGCAUAUUUAAACCACCAAUUAACGAUUGUGUGCGUACCAUAAACUAGCCAUGACUCUGUAUGCUGGACUAGUAGGCACUCUAAGGGAGCCUAAUGUAGUGCACUGGAAUUCCUACAUGCCACCUAUGAUUUUGUGUAAUGUACUGCCCCUGUUCCUAAAUGUAUGUCUUUGUAGAGAUUCCAGUAUGGACCACAUACAGAUGUAUAUAGAUGCAUUUUCGAGUGUAGAUUCACUCAUUUUGCUCCGUAUGUAGCCUAUAGUGGAAUCUCUAGAAAGACUUAUAUUUAGGAAUGGAGGUACGAGGUAGUAUCAUGUAUGACAUCUACAUAUCUAAUUUAGCAGCCAAUAGUAGAAAUCAUUGUCUGCACAUAGGGAUUACUGGUCGAAAAUCCUAGCAAAGCCGCUGGCAGGCAUAGAACAAUACAAGAGAGAGAGAGAGACGCGCUUACAAGAUCAUAGCAAUGCCUCAGUCCAGGAUCUUGGUUGGCCAAGCUGUUAGAUCCAGAAGAAACAUCGUCCUUGUAGUUUUUGCCAGCUGCAUAACAGGUAACAGCGACCGGUUAGUAUAUUUGAAGUACAUCGGGAAGGUGAUGCUGGACAGGUUUAAAGGUGACAAGUACCUAGGCCGUGGCGGGUGCUUGGAAUCUCUCCAGAUGGUGGGAAUCAGGUUGGAAACAUUGAGGGUGAUGACGCUGCGCUGGCUGUCGGGGUCUGGUAAGGAGAUCUAGAACCGUCGAGUAGGGUGUUUGUGGAGUGGCUCCGGUAGGGUGGACUAUGGUGUGGGCGAAGCGGAUCUGUGGCCGUGGACGAGGGCGUAGGUGAAGCUGCUCCAGUGGUUGGGUUAAGGAUGGUGUCAACGACGCGGAUCUACGGCCGUGGACGGGGCGUUAGAAGCUGCUCCGGUGGUUGGGUUAAGGGUGGUGUCGACGAUGCGGAUCUGCGGCCGUGGACGGGGCGUCAGAAGCUGCUCCGGUAGGUUGGAUGAGGGUGCAAGGAAGCAGAUCUGAGGCCGUGGACUUGUGAGUUGGCAAAGCAGCCCCCGAUAGGGUUGAGAAUGGUAUAAGUGAAGCUACUCCGGUAGGGUUGACGAUGGCGUUGGCGAAGUGGCUCCGGUAGGGUUGAGGACGGUGUCGGCGAAGCGGCUCCGGUAGGGUUGAGGAAGGUGUCGGCGAAGAGGAUCAGAGGCCGUUGACGGGGGCGUCGGUGGGGCGGCUCUAGGGGGUGUGGAUGAAGCGUCUCCGGUGGGGAGUACGAAUGAGCCGCUGCAGAUGCGCGGCGGUUGACGAGAGUACCGGCGAAGCAGAUCCGGCGCCGUGGACAAGGCCGACACUGAAUGGGCUGUGGUACAGUGGUGGAUGAGCGGUCUACUUGUUUCUAGGGGAGGUGGGAGGGGUAGAUGCGGCCAGAGAAGCAGAUCCGGCGAGGUGGACGCCGCUGGCAGUGAAUGGGCUAUGGUACGCCGGUGGAUGAGCAGUCUAGGGUUUCGAGAGGGGAGGGGAGAAAGGGCGAUGAAGUACGUACGGCGUGAUGUAAGAUGCUCUGGUGCUGUGGAGUUAGUCGUUUUUGCGGGAGGGGGAGAGGAAAUGGGGGUGCCGUGUAGUGAGGGAACCGGAAGUUACCAAAGCAGCCCCAAACUAUCAUGUAGAUGAGGGCGGUAUCAUAACUGUUGGUCUCCGUGCACCAAGGACAAAAAGGGGAUUUCACAUGCUAAAGACCAAGGUGGCGGAAAUUUUAGAAGGAGGCGGGAUAUUUUGCCGCCCGUGGGAUCGUUCGUAUCCAGUUUCAACUAAUUUUGGACCGUGCUAGCGGGAAGGUCAUGCUAGACUGUGUACACAGGGCACACAUCAGCAGUUAAUAACUGGUGUGAUGUCCACCCCAGAAAAAAGAUGAUAACUCGGGAUGAUGCGUCGAUAACUUGGAUGUUCACACGGGCGCGGCCAAUCGUACGGGUGUAGUGGCGCAUUCACAAAAAAGGGAUCAAACGCUCAGCCUAUGUAUUUCUCGUGUAAAUAGAUAAUUUAGUGCCAUUGGUUAUUUACUUUAAACAUAAUGCAUUGACGUGUUAGUGUAGAGGCGCACAAAAAGAAAUGGAUAUUGUAGUCAGCUACUUAAAAGUGUUACCUCAUAUGAUUACAUAGCCUCCAUUUCAUAAAUUGCGUACCUGUUGAAUUCAUAUAUGAAUAUUACAUAUAUUACUUCAAAAUAGAAACUUAAAUCAUCCAAGACUAAUGAAUUUGAAUGCAAGAGUAACAAUGGUGCAUGUACAUGAUAGCUACAUUGGUUGUUUGAAGAAACAUCACUGUAACUUUGGCAUGCACAACUGAAAAGGUUUAUUUAAAUAGAAAAAAUGUGAUAUGUGAGUGUCCAAUCUUUAUAGCUUUGAAUCAAUAUUGUACCUUUGGCCACGAUACGAAGUAGAUAUUGACUUAUGUUCAAGCGAUGCACGUCCAUGAUCGCUAGAUAGUGAUACGUGAAUGAAUUGUGCAAUCUCUCUCACACGCAUACAUGUCUUAUUUCCCUGUGGGCAGCAGAAUCACACACGCGCACUUCGUGUAUUUCUCUCCCUCCGCCAGGGUUAAAUUCGUCUUUCUACCCUGUCCUACAAGUCUCUAACACAGAAACACACACGCUCUCUAUGUCUAACAUGCCCACCCAUUUAAUUCCGCCCACCCACAACCACUAAUGUCUCAAAGUAUAAUAAUGUCUCUCACACAUAUGCUAUCUACCUAUCCCUUAAUAUAGCUAGAUAUGUGUCACACAAACUCCUUCUCCGUACUAGCAAGAUGCCCAUGUGUUGCACGGAACAUCAAGAUGCAUUUGUAUGAGAAGUUUAUCUUGUGGGAGAAAAGGAUGAACGAGGGAAUGCCUUAUUUGCAAAUGCGGAGAGGGGUGUGGGUAUCUUUUUGCAAAAUUGCCAUAGUUUCCUUCCUGUCCGUCAGAUAUAAAUCGGAUGGCCUAUAUUGCAGGAUGGCAGGAACACCAUCAUCACCAACUAUGUUUUUAUAAGAGUAGAGAUAUGUGAGUGUCACUGCCCCCCCCACACACACCCACACUUCCCAACACCGAAGGAGUAGGGUGACAUCUCGAUCUUGAUACUAAUCUAUCGACUGGCUUCUCUCUCAAACAUACACACACACUACCUGGCACCGAAGGAGUAGGGUGGCACAUCGAUCUUGAUAAUAAUCUAUCUACUCCUCUUUCAAACACACACACACACACUCACUAGGUUUGCCUCUGUGCCUACCGCGCACACUCUCGAUACGUCUUUCUCUCCCUCCCCCCAACAAUGACAACAGAAGGGUGACAAAUCGAUCUGAUCAUAAUCUGUCAAUUGGUUUCUCUCUCAAACAUUGUGUCUCGGUGCCUCGCUCGGUAGCCCCCUCGAUAUCUAGACUUCUUGCGCGGGCACAGCUGUGGUGACGAUGACGCUGAACCCAGUGUGCCUUGUUUACCGGCCUCAUGCGAUAGUUUUCACCCUAUUUUCUGUUAAUUAACAAGGCAACCUUUUCUUUGUUACUACUAGUGAAUCUGAAAUCAUUCGGGGCAGACAUAAAAUAUAUCACUUCAACCCAAUUAUCGCAGCAACUAUUUUAAAAGAAAUAAGCUAGCUGCCCGUGCGUUGCACGGAACAUCAAGAUGCAUUUGUAUGAGUAGUUUAUCUUGUGAGAGAAAAGGUUGAAUGAGGGAAGGCCUUAUUUGCGAACGUGGAGAGAAGUGUGGGUAUAUUUUUGCAAAAUUGCCAUAGUUUCUUUCCUAUCCAUUAGAUAUAAAUCCGACAGCCUAUAUUGCAGGAUGGCACGCACACCAUCAUGACCAACUCUGUUUUCUACUCCCUCCGCCCGAAAAUACUUGUCAUCAAAAUGGAUAAAAAGAGAUGUAUCUAAAACUAAAAUACGUCUAAAUACAUUUCCUUUUAUCCAUUUUGAUGACAAGUAUUUCCGGAUGGAGGGAGUAUUUGUCUUUUUAGAGAUUUCAACAAGUGACUAUGACCGGACAUUACCAACAUACUCAAAAAAGCAGUCCAUAAUUUUGAUGUUACCAUAUUUUCUUGGCGGUGCAGUGCCAUCUGGAUACCUCAUAAAUAAAUAAAGUACUACAUGAUACUAAUAUAUGAUACAUGGCGCAGGAGUACUAAGUAUUAUUAAUACAGUUUUGCUAGAACUCAUCUAGAUGAGAUAUAAUUUGGUCUCAUUCAUCUUUUAUAGCCAUUGGAUGUGAUGCUAUAUAAGAUGCGUGUGUGCUGACGUGGGUUGUAUUUGUUCUUGUGCAACGAACUGACCACUGCAUGUCAUGUUUGAUAGUCUCAAGUCAUUAUAAGCAUACAAGCCCCACAUCUCUUCUUGGUUGAUUCCUCUAUUUAUGUCAAAAAAUAAGAAACAACAUGAGAGUUAAUGCACCACGCCUAUGUGUUUACUAUUUGGUUUUCGUAAGAUGACUUAAUACUCACCUAGACGGAGGGAGUAUUCGAUUUGACAGCGGGCGGUGCAGUUCCUUAUACGGCUUUAAUGCAGACGAGGGAGGGAGUAGCAGUUCCCGAUAUGUUGAACGGCCAAUGCAUCCACCUUCAAUUAAUGCAUGAGGGAAGUAAUGGGAGGAGGUCCGGGAAAAGAGGCUGCACGAUGUGAAUGCAACGCAGUUUGCCCUCAUUGCCCUCAUAUAAAGGCGCCCCUCCAUUCCAAUGCAUCUACCACAUUGUACGCACCUAAGCAUUUGCCUAAGCACCUACACUAAGCGCAAAAGAGCUCACUCCAGGCCCAUGGCGGCGAUGCUCGUGAGCGGCCAGCGGCUGCGCCAGAUGGUCCACGAUGCCGGCCUGCGGCAUGGCGCCGAGGAUCGUCUCCAGACGGUGUUGGAGACUGGCUGGUGGAUGGCCGCCUUCGAUGCCAACUAUGACUCUCAGUUGGACCAGAUGAUCGUUGUCACCAGCAACAAGUUCACCGUCCUCAAGAAGCUCGCGGACGACAUCGCCGUACUCCUCCAGCCCGCGCACCCGGGCUCCUCAUUGCCUGCCACCCUAAUCGGCCUCCAUGGCCGGAACCUCUUUCAAGCACUGGUAGCCCUGCGACUGCCCGCCGACGCCACGAAGAAUGUCCACCUGGAGGUCGCGCUCGCCGCGAGGUGCCUCGCCCUGCAAGAAUUCAUCGACCUACACAUCCACAUGUACGAGGAAAUCGUGUACAUAGGUAUCUACAAGGCUAGUGAGGAUGCUACGACAUUGGCCUUCCUCAACCGGCUGGAAGCCUUGGAUGCCUUUGCUAAGAAGCACCUCGACCUCGCCACAAAAGCCGCCACUCCUUAGCCGCCGGUCGGUGGCCUGGCGCACUAAGUUGAGGAGGAGGAGGAGGUCGUACAUUCGUGGAUCCAUCUUUCUUCUUGCCUUCUGUAACCACCAUUGCGAUCGCGUCAUCGUGGCCUUAAUUCUUAUUGUGUUGUUGCAUUCUCGUUCCAGUAAAUACCGACAUGUGCGAUCCCUUUGCUUAAUUAUAUGCAUCACUGUAACUAGUACUCCAUCCGUCAAUUUAUAAGUUGUGCUUACCUUUUACAUCAACUUCGUGCAAUGCGCAGGCAUCUUGCUAGAAACACUACACUACAAAAAAAUACACUUCCGUGAUGAUACGUGUUUGUCACAGUAGGUCGCGUUUUUUGUCAUGUAUGUAUAUCCAUGAUGAUUUUAUGACAGAAUCAAGAUAGUCAUACUUGUGCUGUCGUAGAAGUGUUCCAUGAUAUUACCAAAAUUAUCAUCAUGGAAGUGUGCACUUCCAUGACGAUAAAUCGCGCGUCACAGAAGUGCUUUCGUCAAGGGUGACCGACACGUGGCAUCCACCGUAACGGAACGCUGUUAAGCUAUCGGGUCGGGUUUUGGAUCCGAUAACCCGUUAACAGCCCUGACCAAUGGGGAUUUUCCACGUGUAAAAUCAUCAUUGGCUGGAGGAAACACGUGUCGGCUCAUCGUUGGGAUAGAUGUCAUCCACUCAUUGGAUAGAAGGCGCCUAUGACACGUCGACACGUGGCACGGCCCAACAGAGGCCCAUUCCUGUGAAAAGGCCGGCCCGUUUGACUUGGUAAAAAGGUGCCUGGCCGGCCCAUGGAAAGCCUGUUAACGGCAUGUUCGCAUAUAGCCCAUUUACAGCCCGCUAACCCAAGGCCCAUUACGCCCUAUCCGAAUUAGGCCCAGUAGCGUCAUCUGGGCCAUCCAAUAUGAUUCCAGCCCAUUUUCACUUCUGGCCCAUGUAUGGCCCAUGACGUAUUUCGGCCCACAUGAGGCCCUAUGUAACUCUUGGCCUAUUAACGGCCCGUGGUGAAACUGGCCCGUAAUGAACAGUGUAUCACUUUACACCCAUUCACGGCCCAUGGUGAAACUGGCCCGUAAUGAACAGUGUAUCACUUUAUACCCAUUAACGGCCCGUUAUUCCGUUGGGCCGUUUCUAGCCCAUGUUAUCUUUCGGCCUUCUCAGAGCCCACUUAUUCUUGGGCUCAUUUCCAGCAUUCGUUUACUUACGGCCCGUUACUAUCAUUUUCUGCUUGUGGGCCAAAUUCAGCCCGUGGUUACAGUCGACCCGUUUGUGGUCCGUUAAUACGUUGGGCUGUUUUCAUAGCGUCAUCAAAUACGGCCUAUUAACAAUGGCCUGUUAUGGUCGGCCCAUGAACGAACGAUUCCAACUCUAGCCGUUUACAGCCAUAAUGCGGCCUGUUAUUGGCCCAUGUUUGGCCAAUCGAUCAUACGACCCGUAUAAGGCCCAUUGAUGAUACAGCCUGUAGAAGGCCCAUUGUUUCUACGCCGCGUAGAAAGCCCAUUGUUUCUACGGCCCGUAGAAGGCCUACUGUUUCUACAACCCAUCGAAGGCCCACUAUUUCUACGGCCCGUAGGAGGCCUAGUGUCACUCCAGUAAAUAUUAGCCCAUGGUUAUUGUGGCCUAUUUUUAAAAAACAGGUUAUUACAGCCACUAGCAAACCGCAGAAAAAGAACUGCACUGACUACAAGAAAACAAAUAAACAAGACAACAAGGAAAUUAAUAAGCAAGCAACUUAUGCUAGGCUAUCACGGCUAUUACACAUAUUACAUCCACUGGGCAUCAAAGUUUGCCACCAGUGCAAAUAUAGGGAACAAAGCAGCAUAUAAACGCCGCAGCAAAACAAGUCCAGAACUGAAACCACUUCAGAAGAGUUCAAGAAAUAAUAUUCUGGGUACCCAUAAUGCUGGCAAGAUGCUUAGCAAGCUUAUUAACUUUCUCUUGUUUGGCGCUUAAAUCCUCCAGCGCUUGCUGUUGCACAAGUAAGUACGCAUCUGAAUUCUGCAGGGCCUUCCUCAGUCCUUCGGCUUCUUGCCGCAGCACAGCUGAUUGAUGCCUUUCAUCUUGUAGCUGAGACUGAAGAACCCGAAGUGAUUCAGGCAGCGAGUUCGAAGAGCUUGUGCCAGCGGUACUGGCCAGUAACUCGAACACUACAUCAACGCAUAACUGUGGGGUUUUCUCACUGUCUACAAGAUCGUUUUUAUCACCUUUCUUGGAGACCAACAGGGAUGUCUCACUAUCUUGAACCUUAUUUACAUUAAUUUCUCUACCAUUGCAUAGUGGGGUGCUCUUCUCCAAUAUUCUGUUUGCGUACUACAAGAGAAACAAGCAGACACAUCACAUGUUUAGCUUGUAGUAUACGAAACUCAUUUUGGUAAACCGGUUCAGUAGUAAGGUGGACAGGAUAACAACAUGAAACAAACAUAUAUCUAUGUACUAUGGUCAUUGUAUUGUCCAUAUCAUUCUAGUUUAUGUUCCCUAAUCAAGAUAAAGACACAAUUCAACUCAUAUAUUUUUAAGACACAUCAACAUAGACAGAAUAUAAGUGUGAGAAACUACACAACAUUGGCAGCACUUGUAAUGCGCAUCACAUGAGAACAUAACUGUUUAUACAACUUAAACUGAAAUCAACAUAGAGCAAGAAGUUAGAACAGCAAUCCAGUUAAAGAAAUAGGUUUAAAACAUACCUGUUGCACCAUUGGAGUUUCAAUUGGAUCCUUCAAAUUCGAAAGUAGUUGGUAUGAGUAAAUACAAUGAUGCAACAGCAAAGGAGUAUGGACCACAGCUAUGGAAUCUGACCUGAGAACAAUUGCUCUUCUGCUUUAAACGUGGAGUUUGGGUUAGCUGUGGUGGUCUUCGUGCUUUGGGCACUGCAGUAGCUUUACAAACUGCUCGUGUGGGGGUACUCUGUGGUGGACAUGGUGCUUUGUCAACUAUAAGUGGGUUACUAUCCGCUGGGGUUGCGGUUAGAUGGGUUGUAGCUGGUUCUCUGCCCAACGGUGUAAGUGUGCAAUUUGGAAGAGUCUCGAUUAUGUGUGGUGGGGAUAGUUUGUGGGCCAGUACAACCAUGGUUCUAUCUGCAUCGACGGGUAGCAUCGUCUUUUGUGAAGAACGGGUUUUUGCUCCCUUAGAUACUGCCAUCACCCCCUCCAAUUCAAAUGGCUGAUAAACAAGAAAAGAAAUUGAACGUACAGACAUUGUAUGAUAGACAGAUGUGGUAAUUCACACAUAUGUUGUCUAACCAAACAGGACAGCAUGACACAGUUUCACAUAUAUGAUGCCUAACUAAAUAGGAUAGCAUGACACAGUUUCAGAUAUAUGAUGGAUAACUUAACAGGAUAUAAUGGCAUAAUUCAACAUAUGAUGAGUACCUAAACAGGAUGACAUGACAAAACUAUAUGAUGUCUUUCUAAAAUAGGUUGGGAUGAAAUAAUUCACAUACAUGUUGUCUAAGUAUACAGGAUGGCAUGAUAUAAUUGACAUAAUUGAUUCAUAUACUAAGCAACUGGCACUCGCAUGUAUGAUCUCUAAACUAAGAAGAUAGAAUUCAAUAUUGUGCAUAUGAUGUCUAAACUAAGCAAUGCAAGACACCAUAUGCAUCAUAUGAGAAAUAUAAACAUUGCAACUUAGAGCAUACACCUCAGGUGGGAUAUAGGACUGGUCAUCUGUCUCUGAAUCCUCCUCUGAGGAGCUCCCUAUAACCAUCGAGAUAUAUGCUUCAACAGGUACCAUUGCCUGCUCUGAAGACCUUGUUUUCAUUCCAGAUUUUUCCAUAACCGGCUCAAAUGGCUGAUACACAUGAAGAGUAGUUCAAUAUACACAGAUUGUCGACAAAUGGAAUACAUAAUGAAAAAAAAGAUGGCAUGAGAUAAUUCACAUAUAUGAUGCCUGGCUCCAUGGUGGUGCAUAAUUCACAUAUAUGAUAACUGGCUGAAAAACAUGGCAUUGCAUAAUUCACAUAUCUAAGAUAGAAAGCAAACAGGAGGCAUUCACACAAAGCAUGUCUAAUCUAAGCAGAUGACAUGGCAACGCAAGACACCAUAUGCAUGAUAUGAGCAAUAUAACCCAGCCAAGUUAGAGCAUGCACCUCGGGGGGGGGAUACGACUGGUCAUCUCUCUCUCUGAAUCCUCCUCUGAGGAGCUAUCUGUAACCAGCAAGAAAUCUGCAUCGACAGGUAGCACUGACUGCUCAGAAGACCUUGUUUUCACUCCGGAUUUUCCCAUGACCAACUCAAAUGGCUGAUGCAUGAGAAGAGUAGAUGAAUGUAUAAACAUUGUUGACAAAUAGAAUACAUUAUGGAAAAAAUAUGGCACGAUACAAUUCACAUAUACGAUGACUGGCUAAAUAGGAUGGCAUUGCAUGAUUCACGUAGAUGAUGCCUGGCUAAAGAAGAUGGCAUUGCAUAAUUCCCAUAUACUCCCUCCGUUCCUAAAUAUUUGUCUUUUUAGAGAUUUCAAAUGGACUACCACAUACGGAUGUAUAUAGACACAUUUUAGAGUGUAGAUUCACUCAUUUUGUUCCGUAUGUAGUCACUUGUUGAAAUCACUAAAAAGACAAAUAUUUAGGAAUGGUGGGAGUAUGAUAUAGAAACCAAACAGGUGGCAUUCACACAAAGCAAAUCUAAACUAAGCUGAUGACAUAUAAGAUGUAUAAUGUAAGCAAUGCAAGGCGCCAUAUGCAUGAUAUGACCAACAUCAGCAUGCCAGGUUAGAGCAAACACCUCAGGUGGUAAACAGGCGUGGUCGGCUCCUUCUAAAUCUCCAUCUGAACAGUUAUCUUCCUCUGGAAUACAAUCUGGAAAUGCAGGAGGGGGGGGGACCACUUCGCCCACCAUGGAGCAACGUCUGCAUGACAUUAUAUUCGCAUGCAAUAGUCUUCUCUUUUUCUCUACAUGUUCAGUACAAUUGUGUACAAUAUCUAACAUGCAUAAUAAAAAAAUAGUUAGAUUUUGUAAGGCCUAAGGGGUGCAUGCAAAAAUCAAGACUGAUGGUAGCAAACGAGUGGAUGGAUCCAAAACUAAUGAUAGCAGGUAGAUUAUAGCUUCAGUUUAAAAAGAUAGACAAUGGAUCAUUUAUUGUUUGUUGCCCACCCAACAUGAACCACAUAGAAGACCCCAGAUGAACCAGAUAGUAGACAUAUACUAUUCAUUGCUGGCUCGAUAUGAGACCCAUGGGCAAUUCAAAACUCAAUAUUGAACGAUAAAGUAGUAGGUAAUAAUAACCGAUGUAUAACGUAAGCAAACAGGAAAGACUGCAACCUCUCUUCCGAAACUUUGUAGUCCUCAGGUUCAUCUGCUCAAUCGAUGAUGGUAAUGCAGUUGGCGUGGCUGCCGGCAACGGGGAAGAUGAUUUGAGGCGGCGAAAGGAAGUCUGCAGGGGGAUCUCUGCUGCAGUGAACGCUUCUGUCGAUGGUGCACCUCAGGUGGGGUGGAUGACGACACGGCAGGAGCAUGACAUAACAUAUCGAGUUUUCUUUGACGCCUAUCUGAAAAUGAAGUAAAUCUGUAAGGGCUCCUUAGAAUUAGAGGAUUCUAUAAACGCAGGGAUAGGAAAAACACAGGAAUGUGAUAAGAAUGCACGUGCAAAACAGAGCAUUUGGAAACAUAGGAUUUUAGUCAACCUGGGUGUUCGGCUCACAUGAAUUGGAAGAACAGAGGAAUGGAGAAACAAAGUGAUGCGAUGAGUGUACAACCUCUUUGGCAUAGCCUUGUGGACCUCAGCAUCUUUGGGUUGGAGGUGGAGGAUGGUGAUGAUGCUGGUGUGACUGUCGGAGGCGGGGAAGAAGAUCCGAGGCCUCUAGAAACGGCGCUGAGGGUACUGCUCCGCUGUGAUGGACGGUUCCGUCGUUGGAGCAGCUCCACUAAGGUGUACGGCGACGAGGCUGAAGCAUGACAAGACAGACAACGUUAAUCUGAAGUGGGACCCUAAUAUCAUCUGCAAUAGAUGAUGUAAAAUACAUCACCAAAAAGUGCUAGAUGUAAAACGCAUCAGCCGCGCCACGGCCGCUCCGACGGAUGCUGUAAGUACUGUUCACUCUGAACUUAAAUGAAGAAAAUGAACUUCACAGUCAAAACUGAAUUUUACUAUCGAAACCGAUUGAACUAGUAACAGAGCAUUGCAAUAGAUGUUUAGGGCGUUUGACCACUAGUAGCAGAGAAGCAGUGAUCUAAAUCAGCAGAUGCUCAAGCAAGGAAUGCACUAGCAGAGAGCAAGUCAUGCAGUAGCACCGCGAGCGAGUGCUAAAGCAGCAACUCCUGUAGCUGCCGGAGGUCGUGCAGCAGAAGCAGCAGUAGCGCAAGCGAGAGCAAGAGCAGAGCAGCAGCACGAACGAAAGCAGGAGCAGUGCAGCAGCGCGAUUGACAGCAAGAACAGAGCCGCAAUGUGAGCGAGAGCCGGAGCAACUGCAACUAGUGUCGUUGUGGAAGUCGCCGCCGAGGAAGCAACGACAUGGGGGAGAGACGCCGUGGAUGAUGUGGCCGGCGACGGGGCCGUCGAUGGAGACACGCCAUGUCUGCUCGGUAUCGAGCACCGGCAGCCCCGUGAGAUCGAAUAAAAGAUAAAAUGCAGUGGUGAGUGUAGAACCUCCUUGGUGGCACCGAGUUGGCCUCGGCUUCAUCGGAGGAAUUGCUGAGGGUGUUGCGGUUCCGGUGGGGCAGGUCAAGACGACGCUGUGGGGAUUGAGGUGGCGCGAUAGACGAGGCGAACAUCGAGGCAGCUCCUUGGAGGUGGAGGACGGGGCGGCUGAUCCGGCGGGAUGACGAGAUCGACAAUGGAUCCUCAUCCAGUGCGGUGGAUGAGGGACGACGAGCUGUUGCGGUGGACGACAUAGUCGGGGAAGAGUCUCUGGCUGGGCGACGAUCGGGAGGCCUACGGAGGAGCGUGGGGUUUCGCGGGUUUUGACGGCCUCGGUGUACGNNNNNNNNNNNNNNNNNNNNNNNNNNNNNNNNNNNNNNNNNNNNNNNNNNNNNNNNNNNNNNNNNNNNNNNNNNNNNNNNNNNNNNNNNNNNNNNNNNNNNNNNNNNNNNNNNNNNNNNNNNNNNNNNNNNNNNNNNNNNNNNNNNNNNNNNNNNNNNNNNNNNNNNNNNNNNNNNNNNNNNNNNNNNNNNNNNNNNNNNNNNNNNNNNNNNNNNNNNNNNNNNNNNNNNNNNNNNNNNNNNNNNNNNNNNNNNNNNNNNNNNNNNNNNNNNNNNNNNNNNNNNNNNNNNNNNNNNNNNNNNNNNNNNNNNNNNNNNNNNNNNNNNNNNNNNNNNNNNNNNNNNNNNNNNNNNNNNNNNNNNNNNNNNNNNNNNNNNNNNNNNNNNNNNNNNNNNNNNNNNNNGGUAAUGGGGGGCCGAAGGGGGAGGGGGGAGCCAAGCUUAGGGACGCGCUUGUCCGAAAUGUAGGGUAAGUUACCAGCAUACCCCCAUCGAUUUUGACACCGUGACGUGGAGCUUCAUUUUCGGCUGAGGGGUAGAAGGGGGAUUUCGCGUGCCUAGGCUGCCGGAGCGAUUUUGGAUGAGGAGGGAGUUCUCGCGCACGUCCAAAUUUCGGGAUAACAAGGCGCGGCGCGGGUUGAAGAAGCGGGAGUUUCAAAGCAGGUGAGACAAAAGAUACUCGAGCUUGAAAAUUUCGGGAUAACAAGGUGCGGAUUCCUUGUUCGGCAGAACAAACUUAACGUGUAAAAAAAAUUCAUACAAGACAUAAGAGAGUCAUGUCCCCUUUUACUAUAUUGCUAUAGAUGCCAUUGAAAAAACUACAAGAAAAAUGUAAAAAAAAUCAGGAGAACAAGAUUACCCUGCACAGUACCAAAUCGAUUCGCACUUCCCUCAACAACAACAAAAAAUAAAUCAAUUCCCACCAAAGAAAGAGUAAUGUCCCUUUUUAUAUGAUUAUAGAUGCCAUGAUCUCGAAUUUCAAUUUUUGAAUCCAUGUUAUGUUGAAUUCGAAUAUAUCGUUAGGUGACCUUGCGGUUUAUAAUUGAUGUAGUCGUACAUUUUGAUCUUCCAUCAUAUAUGAACAUUUUACUCCACCAUGUGAACAUAUAUAUUGUCGUCUACCAUGUGGACUAAAUUUGAAUCAAUUUUCCUUAUUUGAAUACGAUUGUUGUCAAGUUAUACAAUAAUUUAAAUAUUAUCUUGAUAACAAAAAACAUACAUAUAGAAGUAAUCAUAUUUCACUAUGAACUACAUGUACCAUACACUCUCCAAUUCAAAUAUUUGUAUCCAUUUUAUGUUGAAUUCAAAUCAUAGUACAUUAUUGGUCUAGGUAGCGAGAUGUUUGGGAUAAUCUAAACCCUGUUUUCAUACGUAUAAUUUUUGGCUGAAUUGGGACAAGUUUUGGUAUAAGCCUCUUGUAAAACCAGAUAUUCUCUCAACAAGCCUCGUGGUUCCGAGAGGGAACGUGUCACCUUCGUGUGCGAAAUGAUAUACGCUGCCUCCCCCCUGAUUUUAUUAACAGAGGCAACAUAGAACUAUAUAAGUGCCUUGUUAAAUUUUGGAAUUAUUUCGGGUUCAUUUGACCUUUUUAUACAUUAAUUGAGUUUCUGGACUUUUAAUGUGCAUAAUCUAAAUAUGAAUUGCAUGCACAUGCUCCGGUGCACCAAAGUGGGUUGAAAAGUCACAUGUGUGUCCUUGGUUGAAUUUCUAGGUCCCAUGGAAGAAAUGAGAUUGAAAUUCAAACAUUUGGGCGUCAUGACUCGGCCGAGAACAUCGAGAAACUUUGAUUUUAAAUUCAUGUAAAUCCAAAACUCGCCUGGAAAUCAUGAAACUUGGCAUGGUGUCAUGUCAUGGCACUAACAUGUUGUUGUAAAAAAUUGGGCUGAUUUGGAAGCUCGUGGUUCUAAGAGGGAACGUGCCACCUUUGAGUGUGAAACGAUAUACGCUGCCCCCCUUGAGCUUCUUAACAAAGGCAACAUAGAACUACAUUAGUGCCCUAUUAAAUUUUGGAAUUAUUCCGGGUUCGUUUGUCGUUUUUUAAACAUUAAUUGAGUUUCUGGUCAUUUAAUGUGCAUAAGUCAAAUUUGAACUACAAGCACAUGCUCUCGUGCACCAAAGUUGGUUGAAAAAUCACAUUUGUGUCCUCGGGUGAAUUUCUAGGUCCCAUGCAAGAAAUGAGAAUAAAAUUAAAACAUCUCGGCAUCGUGGCUCGGCCGAGAACAUUGAGAAACUUGGUUUUAAAAUUCUUGUAAAUCCAAAACACGUCUGAAAAUCAUGAAACUUGGCAUGGAUGCAUGUCAUGGUACUACCAUGCUGUGGUAAAAAAAUUGGCCGAAUAGGAACAGAUUUUGGUCUAAGCUUUUGCAAACCGAAGCUUCUCUCAAGAAGGCUCGUGGUUCUAAGAGGGAACGUGCCACCUUUGAGUGCGAAACGAUAUACAUUGUCCCCCUUGAGUUUAUUUACAAAUGCAACAUAGAACUACAUGAGUGCCCUAUUAAAAUUUGGAAUUAUUCUGGCUUCGUUUGGCCUUAUUUACACAUUAAUUGAGUUUUUGGUCAUUUAAUGUGCAUAAUUCAAAUUUGAACUACAAGCACAUGCUCCCGUGCACCAAAGUUGGUUGAAAAAUCACAUUUGCGUCCUCGGGUGAAUUUCUACUCCCUCCUUCCAUCUAUAUAGGUCCUAAUGCGUUUUUCGAGGCUAACUUUGACCAAAUGUUAGAGCAAUAAUAUAUGACAUGCAACUUACACAAAGCAUACCUUCAAUUUUGUAUGUCAAAGGAGCUUCCAAUAAUAUAAUUUUCAUAGUAUACAUCUCAUGUGCUAUUAAUCUUGUCAAUAGUCAAAGGCUAUCUUGAAAAACACAUUAGGCCCUAUAUAGAUGGAAGGAGGGAGUAGGUCCCAUGCAAAAAAUGAGAAUAAAAUUCAAACAUCUGGGCAUCGUGGCUCGGUCAAGAACAUUGAGAAACUUGGUUUUAAAAUCAUGAAACUUGGCAUGGUGUCAUGUCAUGGUAGUACCAUGCCGUGGUCAAAAAAUUGGCCGAAUAGGAACAAAUUUUGGUAUAAGCUUCUUGCAAAUUGGAGCUUCUCUCAAGAAGGCUCGUGGUUCUGGGAGGGAACGUCUCACCUUUGUGUGCAUAAUUCAAAUUUGAAAUACAAGCACAUGUUCCAGUGCACCAAAGUUGGUUGAAAAAUCACAUGUGUGUCCUCGGGUAAAUUUUGAGGUUCCAUGCAAGAAAUGGGAAUGAAAUUCAAAAUUCUGGGCGUCGUGGCUGGGUUGGAAACAUUGAGAAACUUAGUUUUUUAAUUCCUGUAAAUCCAAAACACGCAUGAAAAUAAUGAAACUUGGCUUGGUGCCAUGACAUGGCACCAACAUGCUGUGGUAAAUUUGCAGUCCGAUUUGCAAAGGCGCACACAUUAACAAUCAACAAAGUCAUUUUGGAACAAGUGUUGUCAUGUUACAAUCGGAAACACAAGUAUUAUUGAAACCGUGGGCGUUCUACUUACUAGUACCAUUUACGUGCCGCCACGCGUCCCCAUUUUUAUUAGCUAGGAGGCGCCGUGUAGGGUAGCUAUUUGAUUACGAGAGGCGUGCGAUCAGACCCCUGCGCAUGCUUAUCGGGAGGAGAGCCCUUUGACCUCCAUCUGCCGUCCACCUCUCUCCCAAGGUCUCCAUUAACGGUGCCCGAGCCUCUGUUUAAUGGCGUGGCUACGUCUCACUCGACUGAGAUUCAAGAGAGAAAAAAGAAAAUCUGAAAGCAUGGAUCUUGAUGUAAGAUCCGACGGACCUAUAUAGCAUCUACUGCGACUUAUAGCAAGACUGAUGAAUAUAUAAUGAUGAUUAAUUUUUUUUGAUCAAAGAAGGGCUUGACCCUUCCGAUUUUCACUACCGAAAACCACCACAAUUCACAAGAAGUUCAGCACAACUCCAGCCUAACACGAAGGACUAAAAGCUACCAGGUUGAAAUCGCAACAUCCCAAGAGGCCAACAAAGGCCAAACAUCCGCGCUAGAACCCAAUAUUUCACAACCAACGACACAAUCCACAUCCUAAACCGAUUAUUACAUCAAAAGAAACCAGGAAACUAGUCUCCGCGGAGAGCGGCGAUGAGCUCUUUCGUGUCCUCACACUACAAGAAAUUGUUGGGGAAUGUAGCAAUAAUUCAAAAUUUUCCUACGUGUCACCAAGAUCAAUCUAGGAGAUUCUAGCAACGAGAGAGAGAGUGCAUCUUCAUACCCUUGAAGAUCGCUAAGCGGAAGCGUUCAAGAGAACGAGGUUGAUGGAGUCGUACUCGUCGUGAUCCAAAUCACCGAUGAUCCUAGUGCCGAACGGACGACACCUCCGCGUUCAACACAUGUACGGAAUGGAGGGAUGUCUCCUCCUUCUUGAUCCAGCAAGGGGAGAGGAGAGGUUGAUGGAGAUCCAGCAGCACGACGGCGUGGUGGUGGAAGUAGCAGGAUCCCGGCAGGGCUUCGCCAAGCACAAACGGGGAGGAAGAGGUUACACGGGAGGGAGGGAGGCGCCAGGGCUUCAGGUGUGGCUGCCCUCCCUCCCCUCCACUAUAUAUAGGGGCCUAGGGGGGGCGCCGGCCCCUUGUAGAUCCUAUCUAGGGAGGGGGCGGCAGCCCUAGGGGUGGCUUGGCCUCCAAGCCAAGUGGUGGCGCCCCCACCCCUUAGGGUUUCCAACCCUAGGCGCAUGGGAGGCCCAAGGGGGGCGCACUAGCUUACCAGGGGCUGGUUCCGACGUCCCUUCAGCCCAUGGGGCCCUCCGGGAUAGGUGGCCCCACCCGAUGGACCCCCGGGACCCUUUCGGUGGUCCCGGUACAAUACCGAUGACCCGCGAAACUUUCCCGGUGGCCGAAACUAGACUUCCUAUAUACAAAUUUUUAUCUCCGGACCAUUCAGGAACUGCUCCUGACGUCCGGGAUCUCAUCCGGGACUCCGAACAACUUUCGGUUUACCGCAUACUAAUAUCUCUACAACCCUAGCGUCACCGAACCUUAAGUGUGUAGACCCUACGGGUUCGGGAACCAUGCAGACAUGACCGAGACAACUCUCCGGUUAAUAACCAAUAGCAGGAUCUAGAUACCCAUGUUGGAUCCCACAUGCUCCACGAUGAUCUCAUCGGAUGAACCACGAUGUCAAGGAUUCAAUCAAUCCCGUAUACAAUUCCCUUUUUCUAUCGGUACGAUACUUGCCUGAGAUUCGAUCGUCGGUAUCCCGAUACCUCGUUCAAUCUCGUUACCGGCAAGUCUCUUUACUCGUUCCGUAACACAUCAUCCCGUGAUCAACUCCUUGGUCACAUUGUGCACAUUAUGAUGAUGUCCUACCGAGUGGGCCCAGAGAUACCUCUCCGUUACAUGGAGUGACAAAUCCCAGUCUCGAUUCGUGCCAACCCAACAGAAACUUUCGGAGAUACCCGUAGUGCACCUUUAUAGCCACCCAGUUACGUUGUGACAUUUGGUACACCCAAAGCAUUCCUACGGUAUCCGGGAGUUGCACAAUCUCAUGGUCUAAGGAAAUGAUACUUGACAUUAGAAAAGCUUUAGCAUACGAACUACACGAUCUUGUGCUAGGCUUAGGAUUGGGUCUUGUCCAUCACCUCAUUCUCCUAAUGAUGUGAUCCCGUCAUCAACGACAUCCAAUGUCCAUGGUCAGGAAACCGUAACCAUCUAUUGAUCAACGAGCUAGUCAACUAGAGGCUUACUAGGGACAUGGUGUUGUCUAUGUAUCCACACAUGUAUCUGAGUUUCCUAUCAAUACAAUUCUAGCAUGGAUAAUAAAAGAUUAUCAUGAACAAGGAAAUAUAAUAAUAACUAAUUUAUUAUUGCCUCUAGGGCAUAUUUCCAACAGUCUCCCACUUGCACUAGAGUCAAUAAUCCAGUUCACGUCGCUAUGUGAUUAACACUCAAGGUCACAUCCCCAUGUGACUGACACCCAAGGAGUUUACUAGAGUCAAUAAUCUAGUUCACAUUACCAUGUGAUUAACACUCAAUGAGUUUUGGGUUUGAUCAUGUUAUGCUUGUGAGAGAUGUUAUAGUCAACGGGUCUGAACCUUUCAGAUCCGUGUGUGCUUUACAAAUCUCUAUGUCAUCUUGUAGAUGCAGCUACCACGCUCUAUUUGGAGCUAUUCCAAAUAACUGUUCUACUAUAUGAAUCUGGUUUACUACUCAGAAUGAUCCAGAUUAGUGUCAAAGAUUGCAUCGACGUAACCCUUUACGACGAACUCUUUUACCACCUCCAUAAUCGAGAAAAUUCCUUAGUCCACUAGUUACUAAGGAUAACCUUGACCGUUGUCCUAUGAUCCAUUCCUAGAUCACACUUGUACCCCUUGACUGACUCAUGGCUUGGCACACUUUAGGUGUGGUACACAACAUAGCAUACUUUAGAGCCUACGUCUAAAGCAUAGGGGAUGACCUUCGUCCUUUCUCUCUAUUCUGCCGUGGUCAGGUCUUGAGUUUUACUCAAUACUCAUACCUUAUAACACAACCAAGAACUCCUUCUUUGCUGAUCUAUUUUUGAACUCCUUCAAAAUUUUGUCAUGAAAGUACUAUUAAGCGAUUUUGAUCUAUCCUUAUAGAUCUUGAUGCUCAAUGUUCAAGUAGCUUAAUCCAGGUUUUCCAUUGAAAAACACUUUUCAAAUAACCCUAUGUGCUUUCCAGAAACUCUACAUCAUUUUUGAUCAACAACAUAUACUCAUCAGAAAUUCUAUAGUGCUCCCACUCACUUCUUUGGAAAUACAAGUUUCUCAUAAACUUUGUAUAAACCCAAAAUCUUUGAUCAUCUCAUCAAAGCGUACAUUCCAACUCCGAGAUGCUUACUCCAGUCCUUAGAAGGGUUGCUGGAGCUUUGCAUACUUGUUAGCAUCUUUCAGGAUUGACAAAACCUUCUGGAUGUAUCACAUACAACCUUUCCUCAAGAAAAACAUCGAGGAAACAAUGUUUUGACAUCCUAUCUGCAAGAUUUCAUAAAUAAUGCAGUAACUGCUAACACAAUUCCAACAGACUCUUAGCAUCGCUACGAGUGAGAAAGUCUCAUCGUAGUCAACUCCUUGAACUUGUCGGGAAACAUCUUAACGACAAGUUGAGCUUUCUUAAUGGUGACACUUAUCAUCAUUGCCCGUCUUCCUUUUAAAAUCCAUCUGCACCCAACAACCUUACGACCAUCAAGUAGUUAUUUCAAAGUCUAUACUUUGUUUUAUACAUGGAUCCUUUCUCGGAUUUUAUGGCCUCGAGCCAUUCGUCGGAAUCUGGGCCCACCAUCGCUUCUCCAUAGCUCGUAGGUUCAUUGUUUUCUAGCAACAUGACUUCCAAGACAGGAUUACGUACCACUCUGAAGUUAUACACAUCCUUGUCGACCUAUGAGGUUUGGUAGUGACUUGAUCUGAAGUUUCAUGAUUACUAUCAUAAGCUUCCACUUCAAUUGGUGUAGGUGCCACAGGAACAACUUCAUGUGCCCUGCUACACACUAGUUGAAGUGACGGUUCAAUAACCUCAUCAAGUCUCCACCAUCCUCCCACUCAAUUCUUUUGAGAGAAACUUUUCCUCGAGAAAGGACUCAUUUCUAGAAACAAUCACUCUUGCUUCCAGAUCUGAAAUAGGAGGUACACCCAACUAUUUUUGGGUAUUCUAUGAAGAUGCAUUUAUCCGCUUUGGCUUCGAGUUUAUGAGCCUGAAACCUUUUCACAUAAGCGUCGCAGCCCCAAACUUUUAAGAAACGAUAGCUUAGGUUUUUCUAAACCAUAGUUCAUACGGUGUCAUCUCAACGGAAUUGUGUGGUGCCCUAUUUAAAGUGAAUGUGGUUGUCUCUAAUGCCUAACCCAUAAACGAUAGUGGUAAUUCGAUAAGAGACAUCAUGGUAUGCACCAUAUCCAAUGGGGUGCAGUUACGAUGUUCGGACACACCAUCACACUAUGGUGUUCCAUGUGGUAUUAGUUGUGAAACAAUUUCCACAAUGUCUUAAUUAUGUGCCAAACUCGUAACUCAGAUAUUCAUCGCUAUGAUCAUAUCAUAGACAUUUCAUCAUCUUGUCACGACGAUCUUCAACUUCACUCUGAAAUUACUUGAACCUUUCAAUAAUUCAGACUUGUGUUUCAUCAAGUAAAUAUACUUAGCAUCUACUCAAAUCAUCUAUGAAGUAAGAACAUAACGAUAUCCACUGCGUGCCUCAGCACUCAUUGGACUGCACACAUCAAAAUGUAUUACUUCCAACAAGUUGCUUUCUUGUUCCAUCUUACUAAAAACGAGGCCUUUCAGUCAUCUUGCCCAUGUGGUAUGAUUUGCAUGUCUCAAGUGAUUCAAAAUCAAGUGAGUCCAAACGAUCCAUCUGUAUGGAGUUUCUUCAUGCAUAUCUACCAAUAGACAUGGUUCACAUGUCUCAAUCUUUUCAAAAACGAGUGAGUCCAAAGAUCCAUCAACGUGGAGCUUCUUCAUGCGUUUUAUACCAUCAUGACUCAAAUGGCAGUGCCACAAGUAUGUGGUACUAUCAUUACUAUCUUAUAUCUUUUGGCAUGAACAUGUGUAUCACUAUGAUCGAGAUUCAAUAAGCCAUUUAUUUUAGGUGCAAGACCAUUGAAGGUAUUAUUCAAGUAAAUAGAGUAACCAUUAUUCUCCUUAAAUGAAUAACCGUAUGGCGAUAAACAUAAUCCAAUCAUGUCUAUGCUCAACGCAAACACCAAAUAACAAUUAUUUAGGUUUAACACCAAUCUCGAUGGUAGAGGGAGCGUGUGAUGUUUGAUCACAUCAACCUUGGAAACACUUCCAACAUAUCGUCAUCUCACCUUUAGCUAGUCUCUGUAGCCUUUUAUUUCGAGUUACUAACACUUAGCAUCCGAACCGAUAUUUAUUACCCUGGUGCUACUAGGAGUACUAGUAAAGUACACAAUAAUAUAAUGUAUAUUCAAAAUACUUCUAUCGACCUUGCCAGCCUUCUCAUCUACCAAGUAUCUAGGGUAGUUCUGCUUCAGUGACCGUUCCCCUCAUUAUAGAAGCACUUAGUCUCGGGUUUGGUUCAACCUUGGGUUUCUUCACUAGAGCAGCAACUGUUUUGCCGUCUCAUGAAGUAUCCCUUCUUCCCCUUGCCCUUCUUGAAACUAGUGGUUUUACUAAACAUCAACAAUUGAUGCUCCUACUUGAUUUCUACUUUCACGGUGUCAAACAUCGCGAAUUGCUCAAGGAUCAUCAUGUCUAUCCCUGAUAUGUUAUAGUUCAUCACUAAGCUCUAAUAGCUUGGUGGCAGUGACUAUGGAGAACUAUCACUAUCUCAUCUGGAAGAUUAACUCCCACUCGAUUCAAGCGAUUGUAGUACUCAGACAAUCUGAGCAUAGGCUCAACGAUUGAGCUUUACUCCCUGUUUGAAGGCUUAAGAAACUUGUCAGAGGUCUCAUACCUCUUGACGUGGGCAUUAGUCUGAAAUCCCAAUUUCAGUCUUUGGAACAUCUCAUAUGUUCUACGACGUUUGAAAAUGUCUUUGGUGCCACAAUUCUAAACUGUUAGUAUUACGCACCGAACUAUCACGUAGUCAUCAAAACGUGUAUGUCAGAUGUUUCCCAACAUCUACAGACGAUGCUCGAGGUUCAACACACUGAGCGGUGCAUUAAGGACAUAGCUAGCCCUUCUGUGCAGCAAUGAGGACAAUCCUCAGUUCACGGACCCAGUCCGCAUAAUUGCUACUGUCAACUGUCAACUAAAUUUUCUCUAGGAACAUAUCUAAAAUAGUAGAACCAAAGCGUGAGCUACGACAUAAUUUGCAAAGACCUUUUGACUAUGUUCAUGAUAAUUAAGUUCAUCUAAUCAAAUUAUUCAAUGAACUCCCACUUAGAUAGACAUCCCUCUAGUCAUCUAAGUGAUACAUGAUCCGAGUCAACUAGGCCUUGUCCGAUCAUCACGUGAGACAUACUAGUCAUCAUCGGUGAACAUCUUCAUGUUGAUCGUAUCCACUAUAUGACUCAUGUUCGACCUUUCGGUCUUCCGUGUUCCGAGGCCAUGUCUGUACAUGCUAGGCUCGUCAAGUUAACCUAAGUGUAUUGCAUGUGUAAAUCUGGCUUACACCCGUUGUAUGCGAACGUUAGAACCUAUCACACCCAAUCAUCACGUGGUGCUUCGGAACAACGGACCUUAGCAAUGGUGCAUAGUUAGGGGGAACACAAUCCUUGAUAUUUUAAUGAGGGAUCAUCUUAUUUAUGCUACCGUUGUUCUAAGCAAAUAAGAUGUAAAAACAUGACAAACAUCACAUGCAAAUCAUAAAGUGACAUGAUAUGGCCAAUAUCAUCUUGCGCCUUUGAUCUCCAUCUUCGAGGCGCGGCAUGAUCACCUUCGUCACCAGCAUGACACCAUGAUCUCCAUCAUUGUGUCUUCAUGAAGUUGCCUCGUCAACUAUUACUUCUACUACUAUGGCUAACGGUUAGCAAUAAAGUAAAUUAAUUACAUGACGUUUAUGUUGACACGCAGGUCAUAAAUAAAUUAAGACAACUCCUAUGGCUCCUGCCGGUUGUCAUACUCAUCGACAUGCAAGUCGUGAUUCCUAUUACAAGAACAUGAUCAAUCUCAUACAUCACAUAUAUCAUUCAUCACAUCCUUUUGGCCAUAUCACAUCACAAAGGAAACCCUGUAAAAACAAGUUAGACAUCCUCUAAUUGUUGUUGCAUGUUUUACGUGGCUGGUAUGGGUUUCUAGAAAGAACGUUUCUUACCUACGCAAAACCACAACGGUGAUAUGCCAAUUGCUAUUUACCCUUCAUAAGGACCCUUUUCAUCAAAUCCGAUCCGACUAAAGUGGGAGAGACAGACACCCGCCAGCCACCUUAUGCAUCAAGUGCAUGUCAGUCGGUGGAACCAGUCUCACGUAAGUGUACGUGUAAGAUCGGUCCGGGCCGCUUCAUCCCACAAUGCCGCUGAAUCAAGAUAAUACUAGUAACGACAAGCAAAUUGAACAAAUCAUCGCCCACAACUACUUUGUGUUCUACUCGUGCAUAGAAUCUACGCAUAGACCUAGCUCUGAUACCAUUGUUGGGGAACGUAGCAAUAAUUCAAGAUUUUCCUAUGUGUCACCAAGAUCAAUCUAGGAGAUACUAGCAACGAGAGAGAGAGAGAGUGCAUCUUCAUACCCUUGAAGAUCGCUAAGCGGAAGCGUUGAAGAGAACGGGGUUGAUGGAGUCGUACUCGUCGUGAUCCAAAUCACCGAUGAUCCUAGUGCCGAACGGACGACACCUACGCGUUCAACACACGUACGGAACGGAGAGACGUCUCCUCCUUCUUGAUCCAGCAAGGGGAGAGGAGAGGUUGAUGGAGAUCCAGCAGCACGACAGCGUGGUGGUGGAAGUAGCGGGAUCCCGGCAGGGCUUCGCCAAGCACAAGCGGGGAGGAAGAGGUGUCACAGGAGGGAGGGAGGCGCCAGGGCUUCAGGUGUGGCUGCCCUCCCUCCCAUCCACUUUUUAUAUAGGGGCCUAGGGGGGUGGGGGCGCCGGCCCCUUGUAGAUCCCAUCUAGGGAGGGGGGCGACAGCCCUAGGGGUGGCUUGGCCUCCAAGCCAAGUGGAGGCGCCCCCACCCCUUAGGGUUUCCAACCCUAGGCGCAUGGGAGGCCCAAGGGGGGCGCACCAGCCCACCAGGGGCUGGUUCCCACGUCCCUUCAGCCCAUGGGGCCCUCCGGGAUAGGUGGCCCCACCCGAUGGACCCCCGGGACCCUUCCGGUGGUCCCGGUACAAUACCGAUGUCCCCGAAACUUUCCCAGUGGCCGAAACUGGACUUCCUAUAUACAAAUAUUUACCUCCGGACCAUUCCGGAACUCCUCGUGACGUCCGGGAUCUCAUCCGGGACUCCGAACAACUUUCCGUUUACCGCAUACUAAUAUCUCUACGGGUUCGGGAACCAUGCAGACAUGAUCGAGACAACUCUCCGGUCAAUAACCAACAGCGGGAUCUAGAUACCCAUGUUGGCUCCCACAUGCUCCACGAUGAUCUCAUCGGAUGAACCACGAUGUCAAGGAUUCAAUCAAUCCCGUAUACAAUUCCCUUUGUCUAUCGGUAUGAUACUUGCCCGAGAUUCGAUCGUCGGUAUCCCGAUACCUCGUUCAAUCUCGUUACCGGCAAGUCUCUUUACUCGUUCCGUAACACAUCAUCCCGUGAUCAACUCCUUGGUCACAUUGUGCACAUUAUGAUGAUGUCCUACCGAGUGGGCCCAAAGAUACCUCUCCAUUACACGGAGUGACAAAUCCCAGUCUCCAUUCAUGCCAACCCAACAGAAACUUUCGGAGAUACCCACAGUGCACCUUUAUAGCCACCCAGUUAUGUUGUGACGUUUGGUACACCCAAAGCAUUCCUAUGGUAUCCGGGAGUUGCACAAUCUCAUGGUCUAAGGAAAUGAUACUUGACAUUAGAAAAGCUUUAGCAUACGAACUACAUGAUCUUGUGCUAGGCUUAGCAUUGGGUCUUGUCCAUCACAUCAUUCUCCUAAUGAUGUGAUCCCAUCAUCAACGACAUCCAAUGUCCAUGGUCAGGAAACCGUAACCAUCUAUUGAUCAACGAGCUAGUCAACUAGAGGCUUACUACGGACAUGGUGUUGUCUAUGUAUCCACACAUGUAUCUGAGUUUCCUAUCAAUACAAUUCUAGCAUGGAUAAUAAACGAUUAUCAUGAACAAGGAAAUAUAAUAAUAACUAAUUUAUUAUUGCCUCUAGGGCAUAUUUCCAACAGAAAUAUGUCAACUAGUGACCUUCUGUCAGUGACCCUGGAAGAAUUGGUCAUAGAUCUAUGACCAUUUUAGACCAAUUGGUCAAAAGCUGUUCGGGGGGCUCCAAACCCUAAACUAUAACAACCAUUUUGUCAGAAAGGUCGUAAUUUCCUUACACGAAAUGGUCAUAAAGCAGAUAGCACUGGUCUGCUGCCUUAUUUCUAGCUGAUCAUGACCAAUAUAGAUGGUCAUAACCUUGUAAAUUGUGGUGGGUUGCUAUGACUAGGCGCCACCUCAUCAGUUUUGCUUAUGUGUCAUGUCCAUGUGGCAGUUUUUGCCCUAGGUUGUGAAGCAACCUAUAUUUCUGUCAUUCCCAAAAUUCCCAAAAAAAUCUCAUAAAUUCUUUGGGUCAUAUCUUCGUCAAAUAUGUAAAAGACCUUCUUGCCUAGUUCAAAAAUAAUUCAAAAAUAUUCAUUUUCCUACUCUAUUCAGAACAACAGUUUGUGAAGGAAGUACCACUUUGGCAUGUCCAAAUAGUAUCCAUUUUAUAUAGUUCUUUCCUAUGCCCAAAUAACCAUCCUCCACCAAAUGCAAGCUCAAUCCAUUCAUUAUUUUGAGCUGAGCUUCAACAUUCGUAUUUAUGUCCAGUGUGGUAGUUUGCAAAGCAAGUACCACCUAGGCUCCUCCUUUUGAGCUGAAAUUUUUUGAAGACGGUCUUCUUAGUAACUGAUCAUCCUCAGCCAAAACUCACGCCCAUUAGCCAUGUGCAUUUCCCGUACCGCUAAUCAAACACUUGGCUGCUUAUUCAUGUUUGAGCAUUGAUCGGUCUCCUCGUGAGAAUUUUAUGUUGUGAUUUUAUUCCUAGCACCUACCUGUGGAGCGCCCAACCCACUAGACAUGCCUAGGCCGCCCAGAACACAUGGCAACGCCACGGUCACGCGGUGACCACGCGGCGGGCAUGCGAGUUUACGCGCUCUAGAGUUGGGGCCCUCAGCCACCAUCCAAACCUCGAUGUAUCGCCACCAAACCAUGUAUUUAUGAUUAAAUAGGUACUUAUAUAACUAGAAAUGAUUUUUGGAAAAAAUAAAUAGCAAACUAUGAGGCAGCUGCAGUUCAAAUUUGACCCGCUUCCUACUAAAUCGGCGGGAAUUUGUCUUUUUCACCAGAGGUGGAUCAAAACUUUUCACACCCAACCAUUUUGUCAAUUGUGAAUUAAAUAUGGCCUAGUAUUUUAGAAAAUUGAUUUGGUCCAAUUUUGCAACAAAUAUAUGGUAGGUCCUUCACAAAAAAACUCAUUUCGGGCACUCAGAAAAUGGAAAAAGAAUUUUCCGUGCACAGAAAAUGAAAACUCCCUUAGGCAACAUUGUUUGGAAUUCCAAGAUGCACCCUUGUGCACAAUAUGAUAUCAUUUGAACAAACUAUGCCAUGAAUGUGGCCAUAAGAUUGAUCAUUUGGCUUGAAAGCCAUGAAUCUUCACGCAUGACAGCUCAUUUCUAAGAACACUUUUUUAAAAUAAUUUCCAUAUUACAAGUUUAUUAUUUUUCCUGGAAACUUGGUCAUAUAUAAUGACACAAUACGAAGGUUUUCCAAUUUUUUGAAUUUUUUUUGAAAUUCUUAUGCCUGUUUCAAAAUGCGGUCAGAACGGCGGGCUUGACUGUUCCUAGCUAGUGGUUGAAUCUUGGAAAACUUUUGAUGUUUCUCUGAUUAAAUAGAUACUUAUGUACCUAGAAAUGAUUUUUGGAAAAAAUAAAGAGGAAACUAUGAGGCAGCCACAGUUCAAAUUUGACUCGCUUCCUACUGAAUCAGCGGUAAUUUGUCUUUUUCACCAGAGGUGGAUCAAAACUUUUGACACCCAAGCAUUUUGUCAAUUGUGCAUUAAAUAUGGCCUAGUAUUUUAGAAAAUUGAUUUGGUCCAAUUUUGCCACAAAUAUAUGAUAGGUCCUUCACAAAAAAAACCCAUUUCGGGCACUCGGAAAAUGGAAAAUGAAUUUUCCGUGCAAAGAAAAUGAAAACACCCUUAGGCAACAUUGUUUGGAAUUCAAAGAUGCACCCUUGCGCACAAUAUGAGAUUAUUUGAAAAAACUAUGCCAUGAAUGUGGCCAUAAGAUUGAUCAUUUGGCUUGAAAGCAAUGAAUCUUCACGCAUGACAGCUCAUUUCUGAGAACACUUUUUUAAAAUAAUUUCCAUAUUACAAGUUUAUUAUUUUUCCUGGAAACUUGGUCACAUAUAAUGACACAAUGCGAAGGUUUUCCAAAUUUUUGAAUUUUUUUGAAUUUUUUAUGCUCGUUUCAAAAUGUGGUCAAAACGGCGGGCUUCACAGUUCCUAGCUAGUUGUUGAAUCUUGGAAAACUUUUGAUGUUUCUCUGAUUGAAUAGAUACUUAUGUACCUAGAAAUAAUUUUUGGAAAAAAUAAAGAGGAAACAAUGAGGCAGCCACAGUUCAAAUUUGACCCGCUUCCUGCUGAAUCGACGGUAAUUUAUCUUUUUCACCAGAGGUGGAUCAAAACUUUUGACACCCAACCAUUUUGUCAAUUGUGCAUUAAAUAUGGCCUAGUAUUUUAGAAAAUUGAUUUGGUCCAAUUUUGCAACAAAUAUAUGGUAGGCCUUUCACAACAAAAACUCAUUUCGGGCACUCGGAAAAUGGAAAAUGAAUUUUCCGUGCACAGAAAAUGAAAACUCCCUUAGGCAACAUUGUUUGGAAUUCCAAGAUGCACCCUUGUGCACAAUAUGAGAUCAUUUGAACAAACUAUGCGAUGAAUGUGGCCAUAAGAUUGAUCAUUUGGCUUGAAAGCCAUGAAUCUUCACGCAUGACAGCUCAUUUCUGAGAACACUUUUUAAAAUAAUUUCCAUAUUACAAGUUUAUUAUUUUUCCUGGAAACUUGGUCACAUAUAAUGACACAAUGCGAAGGUUUUCCAGUUUUUUGAAUUUCUUUGAAUUUUUUAUGCCCGUUUCAAAAUGCGGUCAAAACGGUGGGCUUGACCGUUCCUAGCUAGUGGUUGAAUCUUGGAAAACUUUUGAUGUUUCUCUGAUUAAAUAGAUACUUAUGUACCUAGAAAUUAUUUUUGGAAAAAAUAAAGAGGAAACUAUGAGGCAGCCACAGUUCAAAUUUGACCCGCUUCCUGCUGAAUCGACGGUAAUUUGUCUUUUUCACUAGAGGUGGAUCAAAACUUUUGACACCCAACCAUUUUGUCAAUUGUGCAUUAAAUAUGGCCUAGUAUUUUAGAAAAUUUAUUUGGUCCAAUUUUGCAACAAAUAUAUGGUAGGCCCUUCAUAAAAAAACUCAUUUCUGGCACUCGGAAAUGGAAAAUGAAUUUUCCACGCACAGAAAAUGAAAACUCCCUUAGGCAACAUUGUUUGUAAUUCCAAGAUGCACCCUUGUGCACAAUAUGAGAUCAUUUGAACAAACUAUGCCAUGAAUGUGGCCAUAAGAUUGAUCAUUUGGCUUGAAAGCCAUGAAUCUUCACGCAUGACAGCUCAUUUCUGAGAACACUUUUUAAAAUAAUUUCCAUAUUACAAGUUUAUUAUUUUGCCUGGAAACUUGGUCACAUAUAAUGACACAAUGCGAAGGUUUUCCAGUUUUUUGAAUUUCUUUGAAUUUUUUAUGCCCGUUUCAAAAUGCGGUCAAAACGGUGGGCUUGACCGUUCCUAGUUAGUGGUUGAAUCUUGGAAAACUUUUGAUGUUUCUCUGAUUAAAUAGAUACUUAUGUACCUAGAAAUUAUUUUUGGAAAAAAUAAAGAGGAAACUAUGAGGCAGCCACAGUUCAAAUUUGACCCGUUUCCUGCUGAAUCGACGGUAAUUUGUCUUUUUCACUAGAGGUGGAUCAAAACUUUUAACACCCAACCAUUUUCUCAAUUGUGCAUUAAAUAUGGCCUAGUAUUUUAGAAAAUUGAUUUGGUCCAAUUUUGCAACAAAUAUAUGGUAGGCCCUUCAUAAAAAAACUCAUUUCUGGCACUCGGAAAUGGAAAAUGAAUUUUCCGCGCACAGAAAAUGAAAACUCCCUUAGGCAACAUUGUUUGGAAUUCCAAGAUGCACCCUUGUGCACAAUAUGAGAUCAUUUGAACAAACUGUGCCAUGAAUGUGGCCAUAAGAUUGAUCAUUUGGCUUGAAAGCCAUGAAUCUUCACGCAUGACAGCUCAUUUCUGAGAACACUUUUUAAAGUAAUUUCCAUAUUACAAGUUUAUUAUUUUUCCUGGAAACUUGGUCACAUAUAAUGACACAAUGCGAAGGUUUUCCUAUUUUUUGAAUUCUUUUGACUUUUUUUAUGCCCGUUUCAAAAUGCGGUCAAAACGGCGGGCUUGACCGUUCCUAGCUAGUGGUUGAAUCUUGGAAAACUUUUGAUGUUUCUCUGAUUAAAUAGAUACUUAUGUACCUAGAAAUUAUUUUUGGAAAAAAUAAAUAGGAAACUAUGAGGCAGCCAUUGUUCAAAUUUGACCCGCUUCAUACUGAAUCGACGGUAAUUUGUCUUUUUCACCAGAGGUGGAUAAAAGCUUUUGAAACCCAACCAUUUGAUCAAUUGUGCAUUAAAUAUGGCCUAGUAUUUUAGAAAAUUUAUUUGGUCCAAUUUUGCAACAAUUAUUUGGUAGGCCCUUCACAAUUAAACCCAUUUUGGGCACUCGAAAAAUGAAAAAUUGAGUCUUCAUCUAAAGAAAAUGAAAACUUUCUUAGGCAACAUUGUUUGGCAUUUGAAGAUGAACUCCUGUGCACAAUAUGAGAUCAAUAUUUGUUUUUUUCAUGUGAAAAUGUAGAAGAAAAACAAAAGAAAAAACAC
rnacentral:lncRNA from 1 species